rnacentral:lncRNA from 1 species
UUUUUUUAUUUUUUUUUUUUUUUUGCAGGUGGUUGAAGUUGUAUGUGAAAGAAAACCAAGCAGUGGCACGAGGUAUGUAGUGACCUGACCCAAAAUCGGCCAAGUCUCUGUGUAUCUGUACCAUCCAAGAUUAUGCUGGCACACACAGUACAUUGAUGAAAAAUUCAAAGUUCAAUCACACCUGAUUUAUUACACGAUUCUUAUAUAGAGUCUUUAUUACAAUAGAAUAAAUUCGGCCGAAGGCCAACUCAUGAAAAAAACUAAAUGUUGCGGAAGCGUAGACGAUAAGCGAGUCCAUCCGACUCCAAAUAAACUCCAAUUUGAAUUCAAAAACUUUUGGCAUUAUUUUCUUCUGACUUUUCGGAGUGUCAUGUUAUCUCCUCUCAUACUUUUUGAACAAAGUAUUUGUCAGUUAUUUUUUGGAAUAAAUUUCAAAUGCCAAUUUGAAUUCAAAAUCAAAUAAAAUUCAAAUGCCUCUGAAAUUUCCAAAGGUCAUUCAUGGCAGCAGGCCAGCAGCCAUUUGCUACUUCGGCGUGUUGUUUGGAUGCUCGCCAACAAGCUCACCCUGACCUAUAUAGCUUCGGAUCUCGAUGAAAUGAGCCCUGGUGAUGUCCGUCAAAUUACAACACCUUUCUGCGCAAUCUCCUAGGUGAGAAAAGAAGGUACUAUGUGCCCUCUAACAGACCAAAUCUUCCAUCUAUCCCAAGCAUCCGAAGUUCAAGUACCCGUCACCGUCAGCACGCCAGCACGUUUGUUUCUUCGUUUGGGCUUUUCUGACAGCAUUCUUCGUUUGGGCUUUUGCUGCUCCUGUCUGCUAUUCCGCUGUCUGCUAUUCGUUUGGGGGACGUCCUAUGCGACGCAUUUUGCGUUGACUAGUCGGGCGUUCGCACAGGGUUGACGCACGACUGGGCCGGCCCACCAACCAGCCCUUUGUUUAGCUUCCUUUCGCGCGCGACAAAAAUGCUGAAACUAAACAGCGAGCACCAGGAAUCGAUCCCACCACCACACACUAAAACCGCGAGCCAUUAGCGACUACACCACAGACCAUCAAGUGCCCACGAAGGUGCACAUAUAUAUAAGAACAGACAGCAGCGUUGAUAUUUCGAAAACAUUUUGAAACCAUUUGGAAAAUUGUGAGCAGUUUUCAAAUACCGCAUUUUUUUGGAAAAGUGAAGAUGUUUUGUAAUUAUGAUUUGAAAAUGAAACGUGAACAAUAUAAUGUUUUAAAAGUGAAAUAUUUUCGAAAAUCGGGAACAUUUUCUUGUAAUGGGAACAUUUUUUCAAAAUUCCAAGACAAAAUUUGAAAACACGAACAUAUUUUGAAAAAUGUGAAAACAAUAACAUUUUUUGAAAUUGGUGAACAAAAUUUUGAAAUUGAACAAUUUCAAAACUCCCGAAAAAAUGAAAACAUGCACAUUUUUUAAUUUGUGAACAAUUUUCGAAAACGGGAAUAUGUUUUCAAUUGCCCGAACAUUUUUGAAAAUUAUGCGCAUUUUUAAAAUUGGCAAACAAUUUUUCAAAACGGGAACAUGUUUUGAACCACCCAAAAAAAAUUUAAAUUUGUGAACAAAAAAUUGAAACUGAACAAUUUUGAAACUCAAAAAUGAAACAGUGCACAUUUUUUGAAAUUUGCAAAAAAUUUAUUUAAAACGGGAACAUGUUUUGAACCGCCUGAACAGUUUUUUGAAAUUUGUGAACAAAAAUAUUGAAAAGAGGAAUAUUUUUUGAAACUACGAACAAAAUUCAAAAGCACAAACAUUUCUUGGAUCUAUGAAUAAAAUUUGAAUACGGGAACAUUUUUUGAAAUUCCAAACAAAAUUUGAAAAACCAAACAAUUUUUAAACUCCCGAACAAAAUUUCAAAACGCGAACAAUUUUUUAAAAUGUGUACAUUUUUUGAAUAUGUGAAUUUUUCUUGAAACCGGAAACAUUUUUUGAAACAACCAACCAAAAAUUGAAUACACAAACAAUUUUCUGAAACUCCAGGACAAAAUUUGAAAACAUGAACAAAAUUUUGAAAAUCGAACAUUUUUUGAAAAAGAGAACAUUUUUGAAAAAGGAAAACAAAAAAGAAAAAAGAAAAAGAAACAAAAAACAAAAAAGAAAAGAAAAACAAAACAGAAAAAGAAAAAGAAAUGAAAAUAAUAAAACGGUUCAGGAACCUUCUAGAAGGUUCCCAAAACCAGAAAAAACCGGCUGGGAACCCUCCGAAGGUGGACUUUUUCACUGUUCUGACCCAUGUGGCAAAGUUUAGCACGAUUUGACCCGCUUUUGAAACUUUUUUCGGAUCUGACCCAAACCGAGACGCCAACAUACGCGGCGUUCUGCUUGCACUGAAGACGCCACGAACCCUAGCGUUUAGGCCUGGCCCACCUCCCUGGUCAGCAGUUUGACUGUCCGACGUGGCAAUUGUCGACCCCGACCCUAGACGCCGGGAGCCUUGGCGUCUACCCCCUGAGAGAUAAGUAGUCACGGGGAAAGUGUGUGGGGCCCACCUCACAUACUCUUCCAAUCCCAAUCUUCCAUCCCGAGAAAGAAGAACAAAGGAGAGCUCCCCCCUCUCUCUCCCACCUCAAGGCUCACUCAAAUCCCGCUCCAAAUUUGAUUUUCCUCCGUGGAUCUUUCUCUCCCUUAUUGUUUGAGGUAAUCUCCCCCGGAUCCCUAAAUUUUGUUGGUAAUUUCUUGUUAUUUUAGUGGCAUUAUGUAACCCUAGGUGGCACCUUAGUUUCUAGAUUUAUUCAAAUCUUUGGUAUUGGAUGGCUUUUAAUUAAUAUGUAGUUGUGGUAGUAGUAAUGGGAUAUGCAUUUUGUGGGUAGAAAUGAUGGAAUUGAUAAAUAUGAUGGUUAGGGUUAGCUUAUGUGUUAAGCAAAUGACAUGAUUUAGUUAGUACAUAAGUUUCAAUUUGUUUUUGAUACAACUCAUUAGGAAUACAUAGUUGUCAUUGCUUCAUUAGAGUUGCAUAGUUUUUGCAACUAUGCAUUAUAAUUGUCAUUUAUUCAUCUUGUUUGUUGUCCCUUUUAGAUGGAUGAUAGACUUGUUAAUGUUCAUUAUUUGGACAAAGCGUCAUUUGUGACUAAAACUGCAAGUGACAACGAGGAAGUGCUGGUAUUCGACACAAGUCCUAGUUAUGAUGAGGUUGUUAUUAAAGUAAGAGAUAAGUUGAAUUGGAUGGACCCCAAUGAAAAAGUUGAAUUAAUAGGAAGGUAUGAUGUUGGGGUGGGAACAAAAUCUCGACUGAAGAAUAUGCCUAUCAUCUCCGAGUUGCAUUGGGGGAUAUACAAGGGUAAAGUUGCGGCCUCGGAAGACAUGUCACUUGAAUUGUUUGCUACGAAGGGGCAAGGUCCGCGGCUUGAUAUUGACUUGAACCGCCAAGUGUCCUCCCCGUGUCAUGCUAUGAGCCCUAGUAGAAGUGUGGCUCGUGUUGUGGAUAGUGCCGAGGUCUAUGCCUCCAAUACUUCUAGUCAACCGCCACCUAGCCAAGAAAAUGAAGUUAUUGGGCAUGCUCUUGAAAAAGUUAAUGAACAAUAUGUUGAUGGUCAUGGUGAUGUCCAAUGUGGUCAUGGUGAUGAUGAUGAUGACAGGCACGAGGAUGAGACUCAUGCAAAUGAGAAGGAGAAGAGGGUGUUGGAAAUAUGCCCUAGAGGCAAUAAUAAAAUGGUUAUUAUUAUAUUUCCUUGUUCAUGAUAAUUGUCUAUUGUUCAUGCUAUAAUUGUGUUUUCCGGAAAUCGUAAUACAUGUGUGAAUACAUAGACCACAACAUGUCCCUAGUGAGCCUCUAGUUGACUAGCUCGUUGAUCAAUAGAUGGUUAUGGUUUCCUGACCAUGGACAUUGGAUGUCAUUGAUAACGAGAUCACAUCAUUAGGAGAAUGAUGUGAUGGACAAAACCCAAUCCAAAGCAUAGCACAAGAUCGUGUAGUUCGUCUGCUAGAGCUUUUCUAAUGUCAAGUAUCAUUUCCUUAGACCAUGAGAUUGUGUAACUCCCGGAUACCGUAGGAAUGCUUUGGGUGUGCCAAACGUGACAGCGUAACUGGUGGCUAUAAAGGUGCACUACGGGUAUCUCCGAAAGUGUCUGUUAGGUUGGCACGAAUCGAGACUGGGAUUUGUCACUCCGUAUGACGGAGAGGUAUCUCUGGGCCCACUCGGUAAUGCAUCAUCAUAAUGAGCUCAAUGUGACUAAUGAGUUAGCCACGGGAUCAUGCGUUACGGAACGAGUAAAGACACUUGCCGGUAACGAGAUUGAACGAGGUAUUGGGAUACCGACGAUCGAAUCUCGGGCAAGUAACAUACCGAUAGACAAAGGGAAUUGUAUACGGGAUUGAUUGAAUCCCCGACAUCGUGGUUCAUCCGAUGAGAUCAUCAUGGAACAUGUGGGAGCCAACAUGGGUAUCUAGAUCCCGCUGUUGGUUAUUGGCCGGAGAACGUCUCGGUCAUGUCUGCAUGGUUCCCGAACCCGUAGGGUCUACACACUUAAGGUUCGAUGACGCUAGGAUUACAGGGAAUAUAUAUAUAUACGUGGUUACGGAAUGUUGUUCGGAGUCCCGGAUGAGAUCCCGGACGUUACGAGGAGUUCUGGAAUGGUCCGGAGGUAAAGAAUAAUAUAUAGGAAGUGAGGUUUUGGCCACCGGAAGAGUUUCGGGCGUCACCGGUAAUGUACCGGGACCACCGGAGGGUUCCGGGGGUCCACCGGAGGGGCCACCAACCCCGGAGGCCUGCAUGGGCCAAGUGUGGGAAGGGACCAGCCCCUAGGUGAGCUAGUGCGCCUCCCACAAGAGGCUCAAGGCGCAGGGAAAGGGGAAAACCCUAGGCUCAGAUGGGCCUAAGGCCCACCUAGGGUACGCCCCACUCUCUCCCCCUCUGGACGCCCCUCAGAUGCAUCUAGGGCUUGCCGCCACCCCUAGGGGGGAACCCUAGAUGUGGGCUCAGCCCCUCCCCUUCCCCUAUAUAUAGUGGGGGUUUUGGGGCUGCCAGAGAUACGACUCUCCUCUCUCUUGGCGCAGCCCUACCCCUCUCCCUCCUCGUCUCUCGCAGUGCUUGGCGAAGCCCUGCUGGAGUGCCACGCUCCUCCAUCACCACCAUGCCGUUGUGCUGCUGCUGGACGGAGUCUUCCCCAACCUCUCCCUCUCUCCUUGCUAGAUCAAGGCACGUUCUUGCAACGCUUCCGCAUCACGAUCUUCAAGGGUAUGAACAUGCACUCCCCUCUCUCUCGUUGCUAGUUAUUCCAUAGAUUGAUCUUGGUGAUGCGUAGAAAAUUUUGAAUUUCUGCUACAUUCCCCAACAGUGGCAUCAUGAGCUAGGUCUAUGCGUAGAUUCUAUGCACGAGUAGAACACAAAGUAGUUGAGGGCGAUGAUUUGCUCAAUUUGCUUACCGUUACUAGUCUUAUCUUGAUUCGGCGGCAUUGUGGGAUGAAGCGGCCCGGACCGACCUUACAUGUACUCUUACGUGAGACAGGUUCCACCGACUAACAUGCACUUGAUGCAUAAGGUGGCUAGCGGGUGUCUGUCUCUCCCACUUUAGUUGGAUCGGAUUCGAUGAAGAGGGUCCUUAUGAAGGGUAAAUAGCAAUUGACAUAUCACCGUUGUGGCUUUUGCGUAGGUAAGAAACGUUCUUGCUAGAAACCCAUAGCAGCCAUGUAAAACAUGCAACAACAAUUAGAGGACGUCUAACUUGUUUUUGCAGGGUAUGCUAUGUGAUGUGAUAUGGUCAAAAGGAUGUGAUGAAUUAUAUAUAUGUGAUGUAUGAGAUUGAUCAUGUUCUUGUAAUAGGAAUCACGACUUGCAUGUCGAUGAGUAUGACAACCGGCAGGAGCCAUAGGAGUUGUCUUAAUUUAUUGUAUGACAUGUGUGUCAAUGAAAAACGCCAUGUAAUUACUUUACUUUAUUGCUAACCGUUAGCCAUAGUAGUAGAAGUAAUAGUUGGCGAGACAACUUCAUGAAGACACGAUGAUGGAGAUCAUGGUGUCAUGCCGGUGACGAAGGUGAUCAUGCCGCGCCUCAAAGAUGGAGAUCAAAAGGCACAAGAUGAUAUUGGCCAUAUCAUGUCACUUUAUGAUUUGCAUGUGAUGUUUGUCAUGUUUACAUCUUAUUUGCUUAGAACGACGGUAGCAUAAAUAAGAUGAUCCCUCUCUAAAAUUUCAAGAAUGUGUUCCCCCUAACUGUGCACCGUUGCGAAGGAUCGUUGUUUCGAAGCACCACGUGAUGAUCAGGUGUGAUAGAUGCUAACGUUCGCAUACAACGGGUGUAAGCCAGAUUUACACAUGCGAAACACUUAGGUUGACUUGACGAGCCUAGCAUGUACAGACAUGGCCUCGGAACACAAGAGACCGAAAGGUCGAACAUGAGUCGUAUAGAAGAUACGAUCAACAUGAAGAUGUUCACCGAUGAUGACUAGUCCGUCUCACGUGAUGAUCGGACACGGCCUAGUUGACUCGGAUCAUAUAUCACUUAGAUGACUACAGGGAUGUCUAUCUGAGUGGGAGUUCAUUAAAUAAUUUGAUUAGAUGAACUUAAUUAUCAUGAACAUAGUCAAAAGGUCUUUGCAAAUUAUGUCGUAGCUUACGCUUUAGUUCUACUAAGAUAUGUUCCUAGAGAAAUUUUAGUUGAAAGUUGAUAGUAGCAAUUAUGCGGGACUGGGUCCGUAAACUCAGGAUUGUCCUCAUUGUUGCACAGAAGGCUUAUGUCCUUAAUGCACCGCUCGGUGUGCUGAACCUUGAGCGUCGUUUGUGGAUGUUGUGAACAUCUGACAUGCACGUUUUGAUGACUACGUGAUAGUUCAGUGCGUAAUGUUAAAACGGUAUAGAAUUGAGGCACGGAAGACGUUUUUUGAAACGUCGCGGAACAUAUGAGAUGUUUCAAGGGCUGAAAUUGGGAUUUCAGGCUCGUGCCCACGUCAAGAGGUGUGACACCUCCGGCAAGUUUCUUAAGCCUACAAACUAAGGAAGAAAAGCUCAAUCGUUGAGCAUGUGCUCAGGUUGUCUGAGUACUACAAUCGCUUGAAUCGAGUGGGAGUUGUCUUCCAGAUGAGAUAGUGAUGGUUCUCCAAAGUCACUGCCACCAAGCUACUAGAGCUUCGUGAUGAACUAUAACAUAUCAGGGAUAGAUAUGAUGAUCCUUGAGCUAUUCGCGAUGUUUCACACCGCGAAAGUGGAAAUCAAGUAGGAGCAUCAAUUUUUGAUGGUUUGUAAAACCACUGGUCUCAAGAAGGGCAAGGGCAAGAAGGGAUACUUCAUGAAACGGCAAAUCAGUUGCUGCUCUAGUGAAGAAACCCAAGGUUGAACCCAAACCCGAGACUAAGUGCUUCUGAAAUGAGGGGAACGGUCACUGAAGCCGAACUGCCCUAGAUACUUCGUAGAUGAGAAGGCAGGCAAGGUCGACAGAAGUAUAUUGGAUAUACAUUAUAUUAAUGUGUACUUUACUAGUACUCCUAGUAGCACCAGGGUAUUAGAUAUUGGUUCGGUUGCUAAGUGUUGGUAACUCGAAAUAAAAGGCUACGGCACAAACGGAAACUAGCUAAAGGUGAGAUGACGAUAUGUGUUGGAAGUGUUUCCAAGGUUGAUGUGAUCAAGCAUCGCAUGCUCCCUCUACCAUCGAGAUUGGUGUUAAACCUAAAUAAUUGUUGUUUGGUGUUUGCGUUGAGCAUAGACAUGAUUGGAUUAUGUUUAUCGCAAUACGGUUAUUCAUUUAAGGAGAAUAAUGGUUACUCUUUUUAUUUGAAUAAUACCUUCAAUGGUCUUGCACCUAAAAUGAAUGGUUUAUUGAAUCUCGAUCGUAGUGAUACACAUGUUCGUGCCAAAAGAUAUAAGAUAGUAAUGAUAGUACCACAUACUUGUGGCACUGCUAUUUGAGUCAUAUUGGGAUAAAACGCAUGAAGAAGCUCCAUGUUGAUGGAUCUUUGGACUCACUCGUUUUUGAAAAGAUUGAGACAUGCGAGCCAUGUCUAUUGGUAUAUAUGAAGAAACUCCAUACAGAUGGAUCAUUUGGACUCACUUGAUUUUGAAUCACUUGAGACAUGCAAAUCAUACCACAUGGGCAAGAUGACUGAAAGGCCUCGUUUUCAAUGAGAUGGAACAAGAGAGCAACUAGUUGGAAGUAAUACAUUUGAUGUGUGCAGUCCAAUGAGUGCUGAGGCACGCAGUGGAUAUCGUUAUGUUCUUACUUCACAAAUGAUUUGAGUGGAUGCUGAGAAUAUUUACUUGAUGAUACACAAGUCUGAAUUAUUGAAAGGUUCAAGUAAUUUCGGAGUGAAGUUGAAGAUCGUCGUGACAAGAGGAUAAAAUGUCUAUGAUAUGAUCAUAGAGAUAUCUGAGUUACGAGUUUCGCACACAAUUAAGACAUUGUGGAAAUUGUUUCACAACUAAUACCGCCUGGAACACCAUAGUGUGAUGGUGUGUCCGAACAUCAUAACUGCACCCUAUUGGAUAUGGUGCAUACCAUGAUGUCUCUUAUCGAAUUACUGCUAUAAUUUAUGGGCUAGGCAUUAGAGACAACCGCAUUCACUUUAAAUAGGGCACCACGCAAUUCCGUUGAGACGACACCGUAUGAACUAUGGUUUAGAGAAACCUAAGCUGUCGUUUCUUAAGAGUUUGGGCCUGCGAUGCUUAUGUGAAAAAGUGUCAGGCUGAUAAGCUCGAACCCAAAGCGGAUAAAUGCAUCUUCAUAGUUCACCCAAAAAUAGUUGGGUAUGCCUCCUGUCUCAGAUCUGGAAGCAAAAGGGAUUGUUUCUAGAAUCGGGUCCUUUCUCGAGGAAAGGUUUCUCUCGAAAGAAUUGAGUGGGAGGAUGGUGGAGACUUGAUGAGGUUAUUGAACCGUCACUUCAACUAGUGUGCAGCAGGGCACAGGAAGUUGUUCCUGUGGCGCCUACACCAAUUGAAGUGGAAGCUGAUGAUAGUGAUCAUGAAACUUCAGAUCAAGUCACUACCAAACCUCGUAGGUCGACAAGGAUGCGUACUACUUCAUAGUGGUACGGUAAUCCUGUCUUGGAAGUCAUGUUGUUGGACAACGAUGAACCUAUGAGCUAUGCAGAAGCGAUGGUGGGCCCGGAUUCCGACGAAUGGCUCGAGGCCAUAAAAUCCGAGAGGAUCCAUGUAUGAAAACAAAGUAUAGACUUUGGAAGAACUACUUGAUGGUCGUAAGGCUGUUGGGUACAGAUGGAUUUUAAAAGGGAAAACGGACAAUGAUGGUAAGUAUCACCAUUAAGAAAGCUCGACUUGUCGUUAAGAUGUUUUUCGACAAGUUCAAGGAGUUGACUACGAUGAUAUUUUCUCACUCGUAGCGAUGCUAAGAGUCUGUUGGAAUUAUAUUAGCAGUUACUGCAUUAUUUAUGAAAUCUUGCAGAUAGGAUGUCAAAAACCAUUGUUUCCUCGACGAUUUUCUUGAGGAAAGGUUGUAUGUGAUACAACCAGAAGGUUUUGUCAAUCCUGAAAUAUGCUAACAAGUAUGCAAAGCUCCAGCAAUCCUUCUAAGGACUGGAGUAAGCAUCUCGGAUUUGGAAUAUGCGUUUUGAUGAGAUGAUCAAAGAUUUUGGGUUUAUACAAAGUAUAUGAGAAACUUGUAUUUCCAAAGAAGUGAGUGGGAGCACUAUAGAAUUUCUGAUGAGUAUAUGUUGUUGACAUCGGAAAUGAUGUAGAAUUUCUGAAAAGCAUAUAGGGUUAUUUGAAAAGUGUUUUUCAAUGGAAAACCUGGAUUAAGCUACUUGAACAUUGAGCAUCAAGAUCUAUAAGGAUAGAUCAAAAACGCUUAAUAGUACUUUCAAAUGAAUACAUACCGUGACAAGAUUAUGGAGGAGUUCAAAAUAGAUCAGCAAAGAAGGAGUUCUUGGCUGUGUUACAAGGUGUGAGUAUUGAGUAAGUCUCAAGACCUUACCACGACAGAAGAGAGAGCAAGGAUGAAGGUCGUCCCCUAUGCUUUAGACGUAGGCUCUACAGUAUGCUAUGAUGUGUACCGCACCUGAAGUGUGCCUUGCCAUGAAUUAGUCAAGGGGUACAAGAGAGGUCCAGGAAUGGAUCACAUGACAGCGGUCGAACUUAUCCUUAGUAAUUAGUGGACUAAGGAAUUUUCUCGAUUAUGGAGGUGGUAAAAGAGUUCCUCGUAAGGGGUUACGUCGAUGCAAACUUUGACACUAAUCCGGAUGACUCUGAGUAGUAAACUGGAUUCGUAUAGUAGAGAACUUAUUUGGAAUAGCUCCAAGUAGCGCGUGGUAGCUGCAUCUACAAGAUGACAUAGAGAUUUGUAAAGCACACACGGAUCUGAAAGGUUCAGACCCGUUGAUCAAACCCAAUGGGUGUUGGAUUCAUUACAAUCACAUAGUGAUGUGAACUAGAUUAUUGACUCUAGUGCACGUGGGAGACUGUUGGAAAUAUGCCCUAGAGGCAAUAAUAAAAUGGUUAUUAUUAUAUUUCCUUGUUCAUGAUAAUUGUCUAUUGUUGAUGCUAUAAUUGUGUUUUCCGGAAAUCGUAAUACAUGUGUGAAUACUUAGACCACAAGAUGUCCCUAGUGAGCCUCUAGUUGACUAGCUCGUUGAUCAAUAGAUGGUUAUGGUUUCCUGACCAUGGACAUUGGAUGUCAUUGAUAAUGGGGUCACAUCAUUAGGAGAAUGAUGUGAUGGACAAAACCCAAUCCUAAGCAUAGAACAAGAUCGUGUAGUUCGUCUGCUAGAGCUUUUCUAAUGUCAAGUAUCAUUUCCUUAGACCAUGAGAUUGUGUAACUCCUGGAUACCGUAGGAAUGCUUUGGGUGUGCCAAAUGUCACAACGUAACUGGGUGGCUACAAAGGUGCACUACGGGUAUCUCCGAAAGUGUCCGUUAGGUUGGCAUGAAUCGAGACUGGGAUUUGUCACUCCGUAUGACGGAGAGGUAUCUCUGGGCCCACUCGGUAAUGCAUCAUCAUAAUGAGCUCAAUGUGACUAAUGAGUUAGCCACGGGAUCAUGCGUUACAGAACGAGUAAAGAGACUUGCCGGUAACGAGAUUGAACGAGGUAUUGGGAUACCGACGAUCGAAACUCGGGCAAGUAACAUACCAUAGACAAAGGGAAUUGUAUACGGGAUUGAUUGAAUCCCCGACAUCGUGGUUCAUCCGAUGAGAUCAUCGUGGAACAUGUGGGAGCCAACAUGGGUAUCCAGAUCCCGCUGUUGGUUAUUGGCCAGAGAACGUCUCGGUCAUGUCUGCAUGGUUCCCGAACCCAUAGGGUCUACACACUUAAGGUUCGAUGACGCUAGGGUUAUAGGGGAUAGAUAUACGUGGUUACCGAAUUUUGUUCGGAGUCCCGAAUGAGAUCCCAGACGUUACGAGGAGUUCCGGAAUGGUCCGGAGGUAAAGAAUAAUAUAUAGGAAGUGAGGUUUUGGCCACCGGAAGAGUUUCGGGCGUCAUCGGUAAUGUACCGGGACCACCGGAGGGUUCCGGGGGUCCAUCGGGAGGGGCCACCAACCCCGGAGGCCUGCAUGGGCCAAGUGUGGGAAGGGACCAGCCCCUAGGUGGGCUGGUGCGCCUCCCACAAGAGGCUCAAGGCGCAGGGAAAGGGGAAAGGGGAAAACCCUAGGCUCAGAUGGGCCUAAGGCCCACCUAGGGUGCGCCCCCCCUCUCUCCCCCUCUGGCCGCCCCUCAGAUGAAUCUAGGGCUGGCCGCCACCCCUAGGGGGGGAACCCUAGAUGGGGGCUCAGCCCCUCCCCUUCCCCUAUAUAUAGUGGGGGUUUUGGGGCUGCCAGAGAUACGAGUCUCCCUCUCUCUUGGCGCAGCCCUACCCCUGUCCCUCCUCGUCUCUCGCAGUGCUUGGCGAAGCCCUGCUGGAGUGCCAUGCUCCUCCAUCACCACCAUGCCGUUGUGCUGCUGCUGGACGGAGUCUUACCCAACCUCUCCCUCUCUCCUUGCUGGAUCAAGGCACGGGAGACGUCACCGGGCUGCAUGUGUGUUGAACGCGGAGGCAUCGUUGUUCGGUGCUUAGAUCGGAUUCGGCCGCGAUCUGAAUCGCUUCGUGUACGACUCCACCGACCGCGUUCUUGCAACGCUUCCGCAUCGCGAUCUUCAAGGGUAUGAAGAUGCACUCCCCUCUCUCUCGUUGCUAGUUAUUCCAUAGAUUGAUCUUGGUGAUGCGUAGAAAAUUUUGAAUUUCUGCUACGUUCCCCAACAGAGGGAACGACGGAAGCGUGAGGCGGACAUGGCAUGCAAAAACAAGAAGAUGGCUCAAGAGGAGGAGAGAUUUAGGAAGCUUGAAAGGGCUCGCCUUGCACUAGAGGUUGGAUGCAGUGCUGAUGAUCAGCAAGAGGAUGAGAUUCAUGGCAAUGACAUCGGUGACUUGGAAGCAUUUGUCAGGCAGCAAGACAUGGAUCGUGAGAUCCCCUAUGGUCGUGCAUGUGCAUAUGACUCGGAUGAUGAAGGUCCGGAGGAAGAACUGGACGUGGAUGGAUUCACGGAGAGAGAGAACCGUAUACACACAGAGGCUACCGGUUUGGAAAUAAGAAUUCCAUUGUUUCGUGAUCUCAGGCUGGCCCACAAGGCGGUAGUUGAUGGUGGCAUGAGUAAGGCGAUAGAGCCGCGACCUUGCCCGGAACCGGGCGAACCAAGAGUCGAGGAUGAAGACGAGAAUUCUUACUUGAAGAAAGGGUUGAAGUUUGUGAGUUUGCAGGCCUUCAAACUAUGGCUAAGUGACUAUGCUAUUAGGAACCAUAGACCAUAUCUUGUUGGGCACUCGGACCAAAAAGUGCGUUACUCCAUCCAUUGUGACAAAGAAGGAUGCCCAUGGGCGGUCCAUGGAAGAAGAAUUAAAACCGGGCAAUGGCUGUUAACAAGUUGUGUGUGUACUCACUCGUGCAAGCCACCGUCAAAAAAGAAGCCUAAGACACACCGUCAACUGACGUCUGAGUUUCUCGGGUUUAAAUUAAUGAAAGAAGUAUCAAGUGAUCCAACCGUGAAGGUGAAGCUCCUCAUGACGACGGUGAAAAAAAUGUUUGGAUACAAAGUCAAGUAUGGGAAGAUAUGGAAGGCCAAGUCAAAUGCUUUAAGGAUGUUGUAUGGUAGUCGGGAAGAAGCAUACAAUCGCCUCCUGCGGUUGUUGGGAGCGAUUGCCCAUAGGAACCCCGACAUGUAUCAUGUGGUCGAGGAUGAUGGUCAUGGGGUGUUUCACCGUGCCUUCUGGAGUUUCGGACAAUGCAUCACAGCCUUUAAGCAUUGUCGUCCGAUUUUGUCUAUUGAUGGCACAUUCUUGACCGGCCGAUACAAGGGCACAAUCAUGGUAGCAAUGGCGCACUCCUCCAAUGACAAUGUGUUGCCGGUGGCAUUUGGUUUGGUGCCCUUCGAGCACCAAGACAACUGGGAGUCGUUCAUGCGUCAUGUUAGGGAAAAUGUCAUUGGUGAUAGAGAAGUGUGCAUUAUAUCAGACCGGCACAAGGGCAUACUGAAAGCCAUGGACAUUGUUAUUCCAGGACUUCCAAAGCUCCACCAUUGAUGGUGCAUGAGGUAUUUCGUGGCAAACUUUUACAGGGCAUGCAAGAGCAAGGAGUUGAGCAAGGAUCUAACCCAUGUUUGUGUGGCCUCCAGCACCGGUGCGUUCACCAUUCGCUAUGACAAGCACUACGAAGCUGCGAACGAAGGAGGGAAAGAAUUCUUAACACGAAAUUUUUCGGAGAAACACAAGUGGGCACGCGCUCAUGACGAAGGAGGUUGGAGAUAUGGCGACAUGACCAGUAACAUGGUUGAAUGUUUUAACAAUGUGCUCAGAGGUGCCCGCCCAUUGCCGGUGACUGCAAUAGUGGAAUAUACUUUCUUCAAGCUUAAUGAGUAUUUUCUGAUGCAUUCAGAGGAAACCGUGAAGUGGAUUGGUGAAAAAAUGGAAUAUCCACCAAAGGUUGAAGAGUGGAUGAUGUUACAGCAAAGCAAGUCCUCAGCACAGAAACUUAGGCUAUUCAACACCUACGAUAUGACCUACCAAAUCGACGAGCCUGGUGGGACAACAAGAGAUGGUAUGUCAUAUGGUUGUCGUGCAUUCGAGGUGCACCUUAAGAGACGGUGGUGUCAGUGCGAGAGGCCUAGUAAGUAUCAUUGGCCGUGCUCUCAUCUUUUGACGGCGGCGUCGUCAAGAAAUAUACAUGUGUCUGAUGGGACAACCGUGAGGAUGCAUGAGUUCGAUCUUGAAGCUACUAGGUUGACAUGGGCCCCUCGAUUCCAAUCCUUCCUGGACCCAUCAUAGUGGCCUGACUAUAAUGGCCCGGAGCUUAGGCCCGAUCCUUUGCUGAAGGUUGAGCCCAAGGGUAGAAUCAGACAGAAAUGGUUGAGAGGUGAUAUGGACAACCUAGCUGGAUACACUGGCAUGAACCAAUUUGGUAGCGGGCACUUUAUGGAGCCUCCGGACACUAUCAACUAUGGUCAAUGUGACAAUUCAGGACACAAUGUCAGAACAUGCUCUAAGAAAAGGAAAACAUCAAAGGAGGGCAAUCCAACCACGAGUCAGGCAGGUGGUGGCAGAGGGGGGUCCGGUGGUCGUAGAGGGGGUUCCGGUGGUCGUAGAGGUGGUUCCCGUGCUGCUAGAGGCCCUAGAGGAGGUGCUAGGAGUGGACAACGUGGUAGAGGUGGCGCUAAUGGAGGCCCUAGAGGGGUUAGCAGUGGUGGUCGUAGAGGUGGUUCCGGUGGUGGUAGAAGAGUACGGAGGACUGAUAACGGGUCGGCGUUUGGUUAUUUGCAUAAUCCAAAUGGUUGACCAAUUUUGAAUGGUAAAUAUUUGUUCAAUAUUUUCCUUGUUUUCCUGUAUUGUGUUUUUUUUCAUUUAGUUUGUUAAUGUAAUUUUCUAACAAUUCUUCUUCUCAUAGGCAUGGCUUCAUCCGGUUCCACGAUGAGGCCGCGGUGCGCUGACCAAGAGGACAUGCCGAACAAGUGGCAGGAGGCAAGGUUGGACAAGACGAAGGAGAAGGAUGUGAAAACCCCAUCAUUUUGGUGUGGAGAUGAGUGCAAGGUGAAGGUCUCCACUGACCGGAAGAAGUCGUGGACGGAAGGAAGAAGAUAUUUUGUGUGUCCCAACUAUGCACAUGAUCGCGCGCGUCCCACUAACGCCUAUGAUGUCCCACCGGUAUGUUAGAAAAAGUAGGCUAUUCUCCAUUAUGAUUCACUUUAUAUUACUAACAAAAACUUGUUUUGUGUGUAGUCACCUCCUCCUCUUUGCAAGUACUUCACAUGGAUAGAUAAUGAAGUGCCAGAAGAUGUCCAAAAAGACCAACUUAAAGAUUGCUUUAGGAGACAGCGGCUGUUUAAAGAAUCCUUACAGAGAGCCGAGGAUGAAGAACAUCGUGAGAGGGAGAGGAAGGAGCGGAAGAAGCGUGAGGAGGAGAGGGCGCGCAAAGAGAAGGCAGCUCGUCAAGAGGAGAGGGCAAGAAAACUUGCGGGGGCUCGCGAUGCACAAGAGGAGGAUGAGGCACGCGAUAAGAAGGGAAAAUGGCCGCGUGUGACCCAAUAGAGAUUUGAAAGUGCUGCUAUUUGAGGAUUGUAUCAUGAAUUUGUGAGAACUAUGUCAUGGACCUAUUGUGUUAUGUGAUUGGAACUAUGUAGUGAACCUAAGUUAUGCUAUGUGUCGUGAAUUUGAGACCUUCUAUUUAGAGUUGUAUUAUGUAUCAUGAACUUUCUCAUUAGUUGUCCAUGUGGUGAAUUGUGCAACAAAAUUGUCAUAUGAAGAGAGGUAAAACUUCCCCCUGAUGAAACCAAUACGCCAGGAACCGCGGCGUUUUGCACUCUGCUCUUCAACCCAGACGCCUUUAACUUCGGCGUCUAGACCUCUGCUCCAGACUAGGGUGGGAGGUAAAGUUUCUGUAAACUAUAGACGCCAGGAGGCAUGGCGUCUAAGGUCUUUAGUCCUAGACACCAAGGACCAUGGCGUUUAGGCCGUAUCCAGAGAGGUGAAGCUGAUGUUGCUCGUCUGCACACCUAGACGCCAAGGUUGCUGGCGUUUUGGUCCUAUGCAGAUAAUAUGUCCUUCUGGGCCCACUCCAUAACUCAUUCUUUCUUCAACCUCACACCCCCGAGCUUCUGCCCCCCCCCCACUCUCUCUCCCCCAACCAAACUCCCCUCAAUCUCUCACAAAUCGGUCCCAUUUGACCGUUGGAUCGGAGUCAUUUACAACCAUUGAGGUAAAUCCAGUACAGCCCCAUGAUUUGUUUGGUUGAAUCCAUCACAGUUAGUGGAUUAUUUCAAACCCCAGCUUUUUUUGCAAAUUCUUUGCAAAAAAGGGUACAUAUAGUGUGUUAUAUGGUGUUGUUAGCUUUAGCCAAAUGAAUUAAGGUUAUGGUGUUGUUAUGAUUAUAUGGUGCUGAAUUAUGGUGUUGUUAGCUUUGCAAAAAAUGCUUAGGAUUAGGGUUAGGUUUAGGAUUACUAUUAAGAUUAGGAUUAGGAUUGUUAUGCUUAUGAUUAGUGAUAGAGUUACAUACUUCUUCAUAAUGUUGCAUUUAAUAAUGUUAUGUCACUCUUGUAGGAAUGGCACUUAAUAAUGACACAAAGAUGAUUUUCAUUGAGAAAUAUAUGGAUGUGGCGGAUGAAAAGAACCGCGAACUCAUUAAAGAAAAGAUGACUCUGUGGGUGAACAGUUGCGAUGCAAGGAAUGAAGCUGCGAGGAACUCUGCACGGUUAUAUUUUUCUGAUGACUCAGAUAAUGUCAUCGCUGAAACGGAAAAGAAUCUUACCGAGAUGAAAAGGGCUGAACUUGAUUGUAGAAGUGAUGUAGGUAGGCAAACCACAUUUUAUGCAACUAUGGGAGAAUAUCGUCAGAUGGACUUGAAUAGGCCUGAACAGAUCAUUGACUGGGCAAUCAAUGAAGGUAUGUCCCCUAUACCAACCCAGGCUGCUCGUUGGGAUUGGGUUCUCAAAAUACCGGGUGUCAUCUAUUGCAACCCUGGACCAAACAAAGAGAUUCGAUUGGAACCUAUCCCGCUAGAUUACGAGCCAGACUUGUCGUUGCUAUAUGCCGACCCAAGCUCCUCGGUGCUAGAUGGGGACAAUGCAAGCAAGAAGAAAAAAAGAAUGAUUCACGCAAGAAAAAUAAGAAAGAGAAUUCACGGAAGAAAAACUUGAGGGGUUGAACUAUGUGAUGUUCUAUGUCAUGGAACUAAGUGAUGUUGUAUGUCAUUUGAACUAUGUCAGUUGAAGUUUGUACUGCGUAUGUCAGUUGAACUAUGUAAUGCUUAUGUCGUGGAUCUAAGUUAUGUUGUAUGUCAUGAAUUUGAGAGUAGUCUAUUUAUGAGAAGGCAUGUGUUUGCCAAGGUUGCUGGCUCCCCCCCCCCUCUCCAGGCCAAAACGCCAGGGAGCACGGCGUUUAGGCCGUAUCCAGAGAGCUAACAUUGUUGUUGCUCAUUUGCACACCAAGACGCCAAGGUCGCUGGUGUCUAGCCCUCUCUCCAGGCCAAAACGCCAUGGACCCUGGCGUCUACCCUGUACAGAAACUGCAAAACUAAGCAAUAUUUACCAGGAUAACAGCAAGUGUUCUACAAGAGUAAAAGGAUGACAGCAAAACUAAGCAAUAUUUCCAGGAUGACAGCAAGAAGGUACCAUAGUUCACGCCAUCAUAGCAAACAACAACAUCAAGGUAGCAAAGUUCACGCCACUCCAUAAGUGCAAAUUAAACACAAGUCUAGGUAGCAAAGUUCACGCCACUUCUAAAGUUCACGAAUCAAACAUAACAAAGUUCGCAAGAAUCUAGUAUUAACUAAUUCACUUCUUCCUUCCUCCUUUGCUGCGCGGCGUGCAUUGUGUGGGCUGUGAUGGCUGCGGCGCAUCAUCCAUUUGGGACAUCCCAAGCAGCUCCUCUUCGUCUUGAUUGUACUCCUCUUCAUCUUGAUUGUACUCCUCUUCGUCUUGCUCUGGCUCUUCUUGCAGUUGCUCCUCUUGUUGUUCCUGUUGCAACAUAAGACGACGACGCCGUCUAUUGUCCCGGCUAGUAGAAGCUCCAGCCGUGAGGACGGCUUUACUUCCGUGGCAAGAGAGCAUAGCUGCCAUCUUGUGGAAUCGACUCACGAAACUCUGGAACAUAACAAAGAUGCAAUACUAGACUAAGUAAAAAGUGUGCAAAGAUGGAGGUUUUUGAAUAGAGAUAACAUAUACCUUCAUUGUUUUCCUAAGAGAUUUCUCAGAUGACCCACUUCCCUCAUCUUCACCAAGUGCUAUACCAGCCUCGUUAACACAAUGCAAUAACUCCAUGCCCUCCAAAAUGAAGAUCACGAAAAUUAUCUUUGAAGUACAUUUAAAUGCACUCGAAGUAGGUUCUAAUUGUGUGGAGCAUACCACUCGGUCGUGUAAUUGUGCGUAGUCAAGUUGUGUCCCUUCGUUGUCUCUCGUUUGUACAUUGAAGUCCAUAUACCCGCUCUCAUGAUCCAACUCUUCCAAUUCUGAACGGUUCCAACCGGGCUUUAGCUUCAACCGGUAACGUCCCGCAAGCCACUUCAGAUGCUCUUCGUAUAAUGAAUCACUAUGUUGUCUUCUUUCCUUCUCCACUAGGGCCGCUCUUUGAUUCCACAAAUCUAUCCACUCGGAGUGCUUGAUGGCCCAAGUCGAAGUUUCCGGGUUAUUCUUUCGACUAAUUCUGCAAAUUAUGUACAAGAUGAAAGCAUUAGCAAGAAAUGUCUUUGAUAAUGCUCUACUAUAUAUCCAAAGCUACAACUAUCUCACCGAUGCAGAAAUUGGCUUGUCUCGAAACUCUCAUCCCUUGGUGUCCCUUGCCUUCUCCCAAAUUGUCUUGCGACACGGUCUGGGUAGUGCCACUCGACAGCAUAGAAACAUAUCAGUGGGCAUCUCGCCCGCCAAAUCUUCCUGUCACGCGUGCACAUAUCGUUUAGCCGGAAGCAUAAUCGGUAUCAUAUGGCAUCCAAUCGACCUACAACACAAGAUGAUACUAGUUAAGUACACGGUUCCAUCACAAUUGAUGUGCUCUUACGUAAGUUAUCAUUACCUGCUUGUGAGUCAACAUAUCCAGCUCGUUGAUGUAGCAUUUGUAUCGCGCAACCGAGCUGCCUGUGUACACAUUCGCCAUCUCCCAACAGUAGGCGACGGUCGGAAACCGCCAAGGAUCUUCUCCAUACCUCCCGUCAUGUGGGAGCCAUCCUUCAGGAGGUAUCUUGUUUUUCUCGGGGCGUCCAACGGGCAUCCGCUCCCACAUCCAAACCUGAAGGCACCAAACAAAGCCACCCAUACCAGAUGUGGCCUUCUUCCUACGACAUGCCUCAUCGAGCUCCAAAUUCAUAAAUUGUUGAUAAGAGGUCCACGAAAUUGCAAAUGCAAACAAAUUGACAAUUUGGUUACUAAUUACCUGACGAUAUAAGUAUGCUAGUGCUCCUGAACCCCAACUGUACUUACGGUCCCAGUCACUUAGUAGGUCCAAGAAUAUCCACUGGGCUUUAUUACCGGUAGAAUCUGGGAACACUACCCUCGUUAACAGAUACCACAAAUAAGCUCGGGCGUGCUGCUGCACAACAACCUCAUUGGCGUCUGGAGGGCAUACUACUCCUCUCUCAUCUCGGAGCCAAUGAUGCAACACUUUCUCACUGUCACGCUCGCCUUUCUCAGGAGGCACGGGGAAAACACCUGUCAAUUGGCCAACACUAUCUCGCCAAUUAGCAGUUACGGUGGUGCCGGUCAAAGCUUCUCCAUUGAUUGGAAGGCCACUGAUCAUCGCCAUGUCCUCCAAGGUCACGGUCAUCUCUCCACAUGACAAGUGGAAUGAGUGUGUCUCUGGCCUCCAACGGUCAAUAAGUGUGGUCAUCGCCCCAUGGUUGAUCGACGGAGUGUGUCGCUUGAACUGAAGCACAAACGGGAGAAGGCCCAAUCUCUCGAAGUAUGGCUCAUACCGCUCGUCGCACGGCCAGUCGUGGGCACUGUGACCCCUCAUGCGCAUAGGUUUUAGUUCCUGCAAAAUAGCAUUGCAUUAUGGUUAGUGCCUAGCAAAACUGAUAAGUAAUAACCAAGAAUUCAAAUAGAUUGAGUCUUACCCCGUGAUUCUCAAUGUCCCGCGCAUGAUGCUCUUUGUCAUACCCUUUAUGAAAACCGUCGUACCAACGUUCCGCCAUCCUACAAAUCAAGCAUGAACAAAUGAAACAUACAUAACACUAUAUCACAUCCUACAUAUCAUAUAUUUGGCAUACCAACAUCAACAUAAAUGCAUAUCUCAAUGGCAACAUAACAAAACCUGUUUAUCUAUAUAUGACAAAAUGUAAAUGCACGGGGCAACAUAUCUCAAUGUCAAGAUAACAAGACAAAUUAUCUAUAUAUGACAAAAUAUCAAUGGCAAGAUAUUUCAAUGGCAACACAACAUAACAAAAUCUCAAUAUAACAUCCUAAUUAUAUGACCAUAUCUCAAUGAGAAUCAAGCAUACAAAAUACACAAAUAUGUUAGAAUUAUAUUUCAAGCAAUCAUCUAUCUAAAUCCAUGUACAUAGCAACUAAAAUUAAAAUGCCCAACCCUACCACAAAUGCCUUCUCUUCCCAAUCCUACCAUAUGAACACAUGACAUCUCUUCUGAAGUAUACAACAUACCUACAUGACCAAGCCAUGGGCUCCCCUUUCUCAAAAAAGUGCAAAGAAAACGAAUCCUAGGGUUCUAACAAGUAUGAAUUAAUGCUGCCAAAAUACAAGUUUUGAACCAAAAAUAAUCGGAGGAUCCGGUGGAGAAUACCUCAAGGAAGAUGGGGGCUCAGAUCCACACUUCUUAUGAAGAGAAUAAGCGAUUCGGGGUCGAUUUGGGUGAGGGGAGGAGAGAAGCAGAGCUUCUGUAGCCCGCCGCCGCGAGGAGGAAGACGCCUCCUGCGUCUUGGGUGGGUUGGGCUGCACCCGAGCCGGCUCGGGCCGGUUUUCUGCUCUCCAGGGGUAAACGCCAAGGGUCAUGGCGUUUACCCCUUGGCCAUGUCGGACGGUCAAACUGGCUGACCAGGGAGGUGGGCCAGGCCUAAACGCCAUGGUUCGCGGCGUCUUCAGUGCAAGCAGAACGCCACGGAUGUUGGCGUCUCGGUUUGGGUCAAAUCCGAAAAAAGUUUCAAACACGGGUCAAAUCAUGCUAAACUUCGCCACAUGGGUCAUAACAGUGAAAAAGUCCCCGAAGGUUCCCAAAACCGGGACGUGAAAGAUUUACGUGAUGGGCCGGCCCAAAUCGCUCGCUCGGGUAGCUAGUACAUGCGUUCGCUCUACAGUUUGACGCAGAGAGCGUUAUAUAGGAAAUUCCAUUCGUUUCGUAGGUUCAAACCUCUACUCCAAAAAGUCUGUGAGGCCGACUGACUCACAGCCCACUUCAGUUUCCUGAGCGACGCCCAAGGCCCACUUUACCGCUAUAGGUAAUUUUGCUGCAAGCACAGCCUUGAAACUGAAAGCAGUACAAGGGUGCCAGAAGUACUUGGAAGGUUUGUUUCAAAUUGUCGACGAACAAAUAGUUUUAACAGAAUUUUAUUAUGAUCGGCACAAAUAUCGUCAACUUGUGGAAAUGCUAUUUACAUCCUGGCAUAGCAUUAUGAAGGCCCAACCAAGCCCAGCCCACAUGGCCAUCAGUGACAGCGCUGGAGGCUAAAGCAAAUAUUAUACUGUAUUUUUUUUAUCUUGAAGUGAUCUCUACCAUAGAGCCUCGCCGGUGUCCUUGUGCUUGAAAUCGGGGGCUUUAGGUAACCUCUGAAUUUUGGACGAGACANNNNNNNNNNNNNNNNNNNNNNNNNNNNNNNNNNNNNNNNNNNNNNNNNNNNNNNNNNNNNNNNNNNNNNNNNNNNNNNNNNNNNNNNNNNNNNNNNNNNNNNNNNNNNNNNNNNNNNNNNNNNNNNNNNNNNNNNNNNNNNNNNNNNNNNNNNNNNNNNNNNNNNNNNNNNNNNNNNNNNNNNNNNNNNNNNNNNNNNNNNNNGGCGGCGCCAGACCCCGCCGCGGGCGCCCUCCCCUUCCUCCCCCCGCCUCCGCCGCCGGCCGGGACCGCCAGGGCGAAGCCCCUCGCGGUGGCUGGGGGCGGGGGAGCUCUCCUCCUCAUCUUGGUUCUGGUGGGCGUAGGGCUCCCUCCCUGGGCGAUGGCGUCGGGCGUGUACGGGGUCCGGCGGCAUGGCGGCGCUCUCUCCGGUCGGCGGCGCGCUGCGGUACAGCGGCGGUGGGUGGGCGCUUGGCUGCGCGGCGGUUGUGCCCGGUGAUGGUGGCUGGGGCCCGGCUUCGGUCCUCCAGCUGCAGCGGGUGGUCUCCCUUUCCCCGUCGCGGGCGUGCGGCGGUGUACCUCGGGUAGCUGUGGUUCCGGCUGCGGCGUUGCUCCGGAUGAUGAGGAGGCGGCGGCGCAGCCAUUUGGCUGCAGGCUGACGCGGCGAUAGGCGGCGGCGCCCUCCUGGCCCAGAUCUGGGCCCUUUUGGGCCCCAUCUAGGUCUGGGCGGGCCUGGCCAGCGGCUCGGGUGGACGGAGGAGCAGCUCGUGCGGGGGGUUGCGGAGACGGAGGCGUGCACACUGCAGCGCGGCGACGGGAGCUUCAUGAGCGCUUUCUGGCUCGGCCAGGCCGUGGGCCUGGUGUGCUCCUCUUGCUGCGUCCGGUCGGUGACCGCCAUGGGCGAUGGAGGCUGUCCCCUCCCGCGUGGCUGCCGAUUCUGCCGCAUCUCGUUCCCGGUUGUCCCCUCUCGGCCCUGUCGGUUUCGCUUCGCUUGCUUGUCCGUCUGCAACGGCUUCGGCAAACGGAGGUGCGGCUCGUGCAAUGGGUUGCGGAGACACCGCCAUGCACACUGCAGCGUGGUGACGGGAGCUUCACGAGCCCUUUCUGGUUCGGCCGGGCCGUGGGCCUGGUGUGCUCUUCUUGCUGCGUCCGGCCGGUGACCGCCAAGGGCGGUGGAGGUUGUCCCCUCCCGCGUGACUGCUGAUUCUGCCGCUCCUCGUUCCGGCCGUCCCCUCUUGGAUCCGUCGGUCUCGCUUCACCUUCCAUGGUGAGACGGCGGUGGCGACUCAAAGGCCAUGGUGGCGCAUGUUGGUGGGCGGCAAAGGUUGGUGGAGUGCGACGGAUCGGCGGGGGCUGUGGUUGUUUGGCGGACGGGAGAAAUCCCUGUCGGCUUGGCCGGCACCGACGCGGUGACACCCGCGGGUGCCACCGUUCCUUCCUGAAGGGCGUCGGGUAUGUCUCUUCCACACACCCCUCUGCGUACCAGGGGAAACCCUAGGACCAGUCCGGGCAGCAACGUCGGCAUCGUCGCUUUCCUUUCUGAAGGUGUUGCUUGAUAUAUGGCGGUCCGAAGUGCUAGGAGUGUGGUGCAAAUUCUCCGGCGGGCACAGCGGUUGCGGGUCAUCAUCGUUUUCGUCGAUCCGACUCUGUUGUCAUUAGUUUCUUUUUCUUUUUCUGUUAUUUUUUUUUGGGCGUGCUUGUGUUGUUUGCCCUAGCAAUGGACUAUCAGUUGUAUUGGGUGGUUGUUAUAUUUAUAUAGCGGGGCGAAAGCCUAUUUCGAGAGUAUCACCAGCUUUUUGGAUUGUCCACCAGAUUCUUCCACGAUUCCACUGAAAGCAAAUAAUAUGGGAGUCAUCAGCAAGGACAUGCUCGCAGGUUGUGAAGCACAAUCUACCGACUAGAAGAAUCUGUAGGCUUCGCUAGAAAGAUUGGCCAAGGCACAUAUCAAGGAACGUGGACAUUACAAGCCAUAUAACCUCUUAGAUUCACACGAUUUCCAGAACGCAGGAUUAGAGUGUCAUGCCAUCUUGACUUGGAAGGAUGUUUGAUUGUGCAUAGGAAAAAUGUACGAUGAUUUCCAAGAGAUUGGAGUGUAUGAAAAAUUCCUAUGAAAUCUAGUGCAAAUAAAUGCCAAGGAAAAUCACUAUGGUAAGCAUUUCUAUGAACCAAACAGACCUUGUAGGAAAAGUUUGUACGGAUUAGAACUAAAAAACCUUUAGAAAUCCGUAGAAACAAAAAGGCACUACGUGUGGUCAUGGAACCAAGAAAUGCAAAUGCAUGAGGGUAUUUAGAAACUUAUUAAAGAGGAAGAUCACAAAAACAUGAGUUACAGAAGAAAAGUUAGUUAGAUGCUCAGGCACAUAUAAUCCCAUUGCUGCGGCGUUUGUUUGGAAAAUCACUAUGGUGGGAGAAGCUCACAACGGCAGCCAUUUGCUGGUCGUGAACAAAACACGCAUCAUAUAGUACUUGUGACCCUUGAAAUCUUCAAUAAAUAUUUCACGAUGCAGACGAACAGCUAGCUUCGAAAACCUCUGACCUCGACGUCACAUUGCACGCACCUCCUGUGUACAGGUCGCAGUGGCCUCUGGUAAUGUCCGCUAAACAGAAAGGUAUUAAGGCAAACGACAACACGGGGAAACACCUUUCUGCGCUAUCUCCUAGGUGAGAAAACAACGUACUAUGUGCUGUCUGACUAAGUCUCAAGCAUAUGUUACACCAGCUCAGGGGAUACGCGGCAUUAAACUUGAGAUUAUACACCACUCGAAUGCAAAGGGCGUCUAGCCGGUCUGCCUCGUCUAUGUGGCCUUAGAGCCAUGGAGGCGGGAUGAUCCCGGCCCUUGCCAUUAAGAGGGCUCCUUUAUUUAUGUCUUUUAAUGUUUUGUUAGAGCUUAUGUUCUGCUUAAAGAGACGAGGCGGCGGCAGAUCUUUGAAUAUAAAAUAAGCUUCUCCCCACCUAGCCCUCGUUCCGGCGGUGCCUCUAGCAUUAUUAGAGGGCAUGUGUAGGUUUGUCUCCAUUGGAUCUCGUGGGCUCGGUCAGCUUUUAUCUUUGAUAGAUCUAGGUAGAUCCGGUCUUCAAUCGUCUAUGUUCGUGUCUUCAUGCAUGUUCGGUUCUUCCGAUCUAGGGGGUUGUUGUUCUGGUGAGUUGGUCAUGUAGGGUCUUAGCAGUUAGCACGACGACUUCCUAGUUGUCUACUACAACAAGGUUUGUCUGGCUACGGAGAGGCAAUGAUGGCGGCGCGCCUUCGAUUCGCUCCAGUACUUGUAGUUUUUGCUAGGUGGUCUAUGGACCUAGAUGUAUUUUUUACUUCUUGUGUUCUUGUAUUACCUUGAUAUAGUUGAUGGAUAAAUCAAAAGUUUUCCCAAAAAAAGUCUCAAGCAUAUGUUAUUCUGACGAUCAAGUAUACGUCAGCAUGCUAGCUAGCACAUUUGUGGUGUUUUUUCUUUUUUCAAUUUGAAAAAGGCUUUCGUGUCGUUUUAUACACACGACUAAACAAUACAUGGAGUUGAAGAUGUCCUCGGAUAGUUGUAUGCGUUUGUUUCUUUGUUUGGGCUUUAGCUGAUGUUGACCUCAACAUUCCUGUACGUGUCAAACUCAACCGCAAUAGCUCGGUCAUCGCCGGACGUGACCCUGCCGAUAUUUUACUUGAAGAUACGGAGGUUCCUGCCAUCGUCGACGGGGUUGGGAAUUCUUGUAGGAGAAUAAUGCCCGAGGUAGAAAAUGAAACCGUCACCACUCUGAAUAAGAUGAAUGCCCGUAGAUGGAACUCAUGUGUGACUCCUGUUUGGUGGAUGAUAUGGAAGGAGAGGAACCACAGAACAUUCAACAAUCUAGCUGUGGCCCCGGAGUUUACCGUCAAACGCAUCAGGGAACAAGUUGAGGACUGGAGAAAUGCAGGAAGGGACCUCCUGAAAAUUUUAAGCCAGCGACCGCGAGAACCUGACUGAGUUUCAGUGUGUUCUUUUUAGCUGCCUAUAUAUGUUGUUGUCUGCUGCUUUACCUGUACUUAGAGCCCCUCGCUCUGUUUUUGUACUAUGUAACUCUCUUCUCUAAUCAAUGAAAGCAGCGUUGCCUGCCUUUCGUCAAAAGAAACCGUCACCAUUGAUUGCAAUGUUUAUCUUGAUUCGAAAGGUGCAAGGAGGAGGUGAAUUGGAUGAGCUCGUUAGUGGCGACGUCCAACGAUGGCACGGGUUCCAUGUACACCGAUCACCGAGUUUUUUUUUUCAAGAAAACUUCCAAUCUAUUCAUUUUCAAUCAUGACAGUACGACGAACACCAAAAAUAAAAAUUAUAUCCAGAUCCGUAGACCACCUAGCGACGACUACAAGCACCGAAGCGAGCCGAAGGCGCGUCACCGUCAUUGCCCCUCCAUCGCCGGAGUCGGGCACAACUUGUUGUAGUAGACAGUCAAGAAGUCGUCGUGCUAAGGCCCCAUAGGACCUGCACUCCAGAACAACAACCGCCGCCGAUGAAAAAUAACGUAGAUCGGAAGGAUCCAAACCGAAAACACACGAACGUAGACGAACAACGACGAGAUCCAAGCAAAUCUACCAAAGAUAGAUCUGCCGGAGACACACCUCCACACGCCCACCAACGAUACUAGACGCACCGCCGGAACGGGGGCUAGGCGGGGAGACCUUUAUUCCAUCUUCAGGGAGCCGACGUCGUCUCGCCUUCCUGAAUAGGACACAAACCCUAGCAAGAUUGAAAAAAAGCUAAAAACGGAGCCCUCCCACUAGUGGAAAAAGGGUCAUCUGUCCCGGUUGGUAAGGGCCUUUUGUCACGGUUGUUGAACCGGGACUAAAGGGUCGUUACUAAUGCCCUAGCCCUUUAGUCCCGGUUCUUACACGAACCGGGACAGAUGGGCCUCCACGUGUCCGGUGCGGCGAGCCCAGGCAGGAGGGCCUUUGGUCCCGGUUGGUGGCACUAACCAGGACCAAUAGGCAUCCACGCGUCAGCAUUUCAGGGGCUGGGGUUUUUGUUUUUGUUUUUUUUGAAGGGGGGUUGGGAGUUUUCAGGGGUUAAUUUAGGUGUUUCAUAUAUUAUGUUAGCUAGCUAAUUAAUAGAGAGAAGUGUCCUCUCUUAUCUCCGUGUUUGGUCGACGCUACGUACUAUAUACGUAUAAAGAGGACUAGACACGCUAGCUAGUAAGCAAAUGAAGAAAACAGAAGAUCGUCAUGAACAUAUGCAUACAGAGAGAAGUGAUAUCGACCACCUCUCCUUCUCCGAGAGAUUGUUCGAACAACAAGUUAUCGUAUAUCUAUCCGACACUACCGGCUACAUAUAUACAAUAAUUAUCUCUUACAAUAUAAUCUCCUAAUUAUAUAUGAACACAGGGUCCACAUAGUAUUCUCCGUUUUCAGCGAUCACGUGGUCAAGGAAGAAUGCCGCCAAUUCCUCUUGAAUUGCUCGCAUACGAUCUGGUGCUAGGAGUUCAUCCCGCAUCCGAAAGAUUUAAUUUGAAGAAGGGGGUCAAUACAUAUAUAUAUAUAUAUAUCAAUAAAUGAAACUCAACACAAAUGAUGGUAAUAAAAUAAAAUUGUGAAUAUUAUUGCUUACGCACUUCAUAUUGUUCGUCAGAGUAGCCCCGCUUACAGGUCGUGUGGCGGAUGGACUCGCAAACGUAGUAUCCACAGAAAUCAUUCCCUUGUUCCUGCCACAACCACUUUACAAGAAAUAGAGGUCGAUCAAACUGAUAAGCAAGCAUGCUAAAUGGUAUUGAUGAAACUAGCGCUUGAAUCACUAGGAGAUGCGCGGAACAUGCUACUAUAGUACUUACUUUCGGGUGUCUAAAUUGCAGCUUCUUCGGCAGUCUCGGAGCUUUUUUGGUGAAUUUUCUCCAAACCCUGCCAGACAAAGAAAACAAUUACUUGAUAUCAGGAAAUGAACAAAGUUGCUGAUAUGGUGGAUAAUGAUCGAUUUAACUUACUUCUCGAGCAUUUGAGUCAUGUCCGCAUAGUCCUGGGGAUCUUUUCGUCUCGAGUCUAAGACGGUUACUACUCCCUGCUCCAGCUUAAUCUCUAGGAGAAUAUAGUGGAAGCUGUGCACGCAUGCAUAAGUCAUCAAUUAUAUUACUAUAACCAGGACUAAUAAGGGAAACCGAAUAUGCACAAGACAGUAACACUCACUUGAAGUUGUAAGGAAAGAGUAUUAUAUCUUUGUUUUCAUUUAUUACCAACGAUCGUAGCAAGUUGGCCUCGGUAUUUUCGGCAUGAUAUUUAACCUCAGUUGCAUCUAUGAGAUUUGUGUUAAUGAACCCAAUAUCACCGAUUUGUCUUUUAUUCAAUUCGGCGAUCUUCAAUCUGCAUAAUAUAGUGAGGAUAAUUAUAAAUACAUGCAAUGAAAGAGCUGACAUAUAUAGAGAGACUUAAUGACAGAAGUAGUACUACUUACAGACAGUAGCAAGUGACCGUUGAUUUAUCGAGGGCCUUUUGAUUGAAAAAUUGGAAGAAGUCCUCAAAUGGAACAUUCAACGGUUCAAUUCCAACGAGGUCAUGCUCCUCUUUAACUCUCAGCGUCAAAGUAUUCCUCCCCCCAGACUCUCUGCAGGUUUUCAUGUACCAAUCAUGCAAUCUUCGCAUCAUCGUUGUUAGAGAUCUUUCAUCUUUGACGAGAGGCUUCCCUUACUCGUAUAUGUGUUCCUCCACCUCCAAGAAAUCAUAAUGUACAUCGUCGGGCAGGUAAUCUCCAAGAUUGCUAUAACCGGGCACCAUCCUCGGAUCAUUAGCGACGAUGUCGCUAGACACCUUGAGCGGGGGGCAUGAUUGGUUCGCUUGUUCGCCGAGCUGGGCAAUUUUUUUCCCAGCUCGUCGUUCUUUUAACCUUUGAUCACUGACAGUACUUCCCGACCGCUCCGCUUCGACAAAUGUCUUUGCAAUAAUGCGCUCAUAGUUGCCUUUCGGCGGAGACUUUGGUGGUUUUGUCAGGGCAGCCAGAGUGCGAUUCGCUUUCACCGGAUCUACCUUCUCCUCCGGAGGUGGAUGUUUAUUUGCUUUCACCCCUUCAAAGAAGUUCGUCACUUCGGCUCGCACGAUCUUCGCGUUCUCCUCCGGGGUCCUCUCGUAUCGUAACUUCUCUGGAGUCUUCAGAGAAGGACCGAAUCUGUAUUGCCUCCCGCCUCUGGCUGUACUGCUAGACGCCGGCAGAGCAGACGGAGCGGCUGCGACUAUCUUCUUUCCUUGCUUACGAGGCGGAGGAGAAGGAGUACGACGCAACAGAGCAGCCAGAGCAGCGGCGGUCUCUUCCCCCCUUGCUGACGAGGCGGAGAAGGAGGAGGCUGGCUGCUCGGGCGCGCCGGCGCAGGCGGAGAAGGAGGCGGAGUGCCGCCACGCGCCGGAGAAGGAGGCGGAGGAGGAGGCGGAGUGCCCUUACUCGCCGGAGGAGGAGGAGGAGGCGGAGGCGUCCAGUUCGGAAGGUUGAUGAGCUCCUUCCGCCAUAGGCAUGCAGUCUUCAGAGCAGAACCCAGCCGAGUCUCCCCUUCACCGGUAAGGUGGUCAAGCUGGAGGUCCUCAAAUCCCUCCAUUAUUUCGUCCACCGUCACCCUAGCAUAUCCUUCUGGAAUCGGACGACAGUGAAAAGUUGUGCCGGGUUCAGGAGGUCGAACAGAGCCGACCGCCGCCUUGACUUUGAAGUUCUGCCAUUGCGUCAUAAGGUGGCAAUGUUGAGACUCCGUGAUAGCAUCCACGGGUUAGCUAGCAGGAGCCGUCAAGACAUGCUCCGGCUGAAGCAGCUCGGUGGAAGCCACGCUGCUUCUCCGCUGAGAUGGCGGGGUAGCUUCGGGGGUAGUUUCGGCAGGUCGCUUGCUGCGAGCUACGUCUCGUUCCUCUAGCGCUUGAACCCUUUCGUGCAGCUUCUGAAUUUGGGUCUGCUCCACUUUUUUCCUCCUCUCCUGGCAUUUGUAACCGCCUGUGUCCAGAAAACCAGCCUUCCACGGAACGGAGCCUAGCGUGCCUCGUGUCCGUCCAGGGUGCUCAGGAUUCCUGAGGGCCAUUGUGAGCUCGUCGUUCUCUCUGUCUGGAACGAACGUCCCUUGCUGCGUUGCAUCGAUAUAGUGCUGAAGCCUCUUGACUGGUAUUCUCAUUUGCUCGUCCGUCCAAACGCACUUCCCUGAUACAGGUUCCAAGGUUCCGCCAGCCCUGAAGAACCAAGUCCGGCAACGAUCUGGCCAGUUCAUUGUCUCUGGUUAGAUCCCUUUAUCAAGCAGAUCAUUCUCAGCCUUGGCCCACUUAGGCCGGGCUUUAAGGUAGCCACCUGACCCCGUGCGAUGGUGAAGCUUCUUCUUCGCAGCAUUUUUCUUGUUUGUCGCUGACAUCUUCUUACUCUUUUCCGAUGUCUUGUGGGCCACAAAUGCGGGCCAGUGAUCUCUGAUCUUCUCAUAUUUGCCGAUGAAUUCUGGUGUCUCUUCUUUGUCGACAAACGUUUUCAGCUCAUUCUUCCACCUCCUGAAUAGGCCUGCCAUCUUCUUAAGAGCAUGAGACUUGAUUAAUUGCUCUUUAACUGGCUUCUCCGGAUCCUCCUCUGGCGGUAGGGUGAAAUUUGUCUUCAGCUCAGUCCAAAGAUCAUCUUUCUGCAUAUCAUUGACAUAAGACACCUCAGGGUCUUCCUUCUUAGGCUUAUACCAUUGGUGGAUGCUGAUCGGGAUCUUGUCCCUAACAAGAACCCCGCACUGAGCAGCAAAUGCUUCCUUUGUCCGGAUGGGUUCAAUCGGUUGGCCGUCGCGCGCGAUUGCUGUGAUCUCAAACCUUUCAUCCGAGCGCAACUUUUUCUUCGGGCCUCGUCUCUUUACCGAAGUUGUGCUCGAUCCGGAGGGCUAGAAAAAAGAAGAAAGACGAGAGUUAAUUAAUAUUUGUACAUACCAAAACAAUGAAUGCAUCAAUUAGCUAGUCAGCACAGGCUUAACUAAUAUAUUUACCUGGCCGGACUCUGUUCGGUCACCGGAGCCGUCACCAUGGGCUCCUUCUUGCACCAGCAUUGGGUCACCGGAGCCAUCAUAAUCAUGUAUUUCCUCCUCCACUCUUCGAUCACCGUAGCCUGCUUCUUCACCCUGUUCUUGUAGACCAUCAUUGUCGUUAAGAUACGACAAGACAUCACCUCUGGCUAAGAUUACGUCCCCCAACACCUCUUCUGCUUCCUCGUCUCGUCCGUGCUCCAUUGUUUCUGCAAAUAUUACAACAUGGCAAUUAUUACACAAACAUGACAGCAGGUGGAUAUACUAGUGCAAACGUAGACCUAGCUUAUUCCGUGUAUGGGGUGGCCUCGGCAACGCUUCAAGGGUAGGGGCGCGGCGGGAAGGGGUAGGAGACCGACAUCGUUUUUUUCUAGGGUUUGGGUGUCCUCGAGAGUUUUGGUCGAGCGAGAGGGCCGGGGGGUGCUCCCGUGGUAUAAGUUAUCACGGUCGAAGUUAUCCGGGAGGGGGUUAUAUCGACAACGACGACAUACAUACAUGGGAAAAUAAUGUUAUCGGGGAGGGGGUAGGUCGAACCCCCCCCCCCUCGUGUUGAAGUUAUCGGGACACGGGGUAUAUCGACAACGACAUAUCCGAUAAAAAAUAAGAAGACGAAGAAGAAAUAAAAAGAGGAGAAGAAGAUAUUAAUAGAGGAGAAGAUUGAAGAAAAAAAAAGAAGAAAAAAAAUAGAGGAGAAGAAGAAAGGAAUAGAGGAGAAGAAGAGAANNNNNNNNNNNNNNNNNNNNNNNNNNNNNNNNNNNNNNNNNNNNNNNNNNNNNNNNNNNNNNNNNNNNNNNNNNNNNNNNNNNNNNNNNNNNNNNNNNNNNNNNNNNNNNNNNNNNNNNNNNNNNNNNNNNNNNNNNNNNNNNNNNNNNNNNNNNNNNNNNNNNNNNNNNNNNNNNNNNNNNNNNNNNNNNNNNNNNNNNNNNNNNNNNNNNNNNNNNNNNNNCCUUUCUUCUUCUCCUCUUCUUUUUCUUCUUUUUUCUUCUUCUUAUUUUCCUUUUUCCUCUCCUUCUUUUUCUUCUUCUUCAAUAUCUUCCUAGCUAGAUAUAUAAUACUUUUCUAAAAAUGUAACUUUUGCAUAUAUAAAACUUUUUCUUCUUCUUCCUUCUUCCUUCUCUUCCUUCUUUUCCUAAAUAUAUAAAACUUUUCUAAAAAUGAAACUAACCUAAAAUGUACUAAAUCAGAGAACAUAUAUACAUAAAACUAACCUAAAAUGUACCCAAAUGUACUAAAAAUCUAACUUUUAUAUGCACAGAGAACAUACAUACAUAUAUACAUUUUUAUAAAAAUGCAAAAAACAAAUCAUCUUAUAUAUGAACAAAAAAUCUAAAAAAAGGACAUAUAAUCAGAUAUACACACAUACAUUACUCACACGUAUACAUAUAAUCUGGAAAAAAAACAUCCUAAAUAUGUGAAAAAACAGAGGAGAGGAUAGGGGGGCGGCGCCGGCCUGACCAAGGAGAGGUGCGGCGCGGUUGNNNNNNNNNNNNNNNNNNNNNNNNNNNNNNNNNNNNNNNNNNNNNNNNNNNNNNNNNNNNNNNNNNNNNNNNNNNNNNNNNNNNNNNNNNNNNNNNNNNNNNNNNNNNNNNNNNNNNNNNNNNNNNNNNNNNNNNNNNNNNNNNNNNNNNNNNNNNNNNNNNNNNNNNNNNNNNNNNNNNNNNNNNNNNNNNNNNNNNNNNNNNNNNNNNNNNNNNNNNNNNNNNNNNNNNNNNNNNNNNNNNNNNNNNNNNNNNNNNNNNNNNNNNNNNNNNNNNNNNNNNNNNNNNNNNNNNNNNNNNNNNNNNNNNNNNNNNNNNNNNNNNNNNNNNNNNNNNNNNNNNNNNNNNNNNNNNNNNNNNNNNNNNNNNNNNNNNNNNNNNNNNNNNNNNNNNNNNNNNNNNNNNNNNNNNNNNNNNNNNNNNNNNNNNNNNNNNNNNNNNNNNNNNNNNNNNNNNNNNNNNNNNNNNNNNNNNNNNNNNNNNNNNNNNNNNNNNNNNNNNNNNNNNNNNNNNNNNNNNNNNNNNNNNNNNNNNNNNNNNNNNNNNNNNNNNNNNNNNNNNNNNNNNNNNNNNNNNNNNNNNNNNNNNNNNUACUUACUGUUGCUAUUUUAUUUAUUUUAUUAAGAUUUAUUUAUUUGUUUUAUUAUAGUUUAUUUUAUUUUAUUUUAUUUUGUUUCUACUUAUUUAUUUUAUAAAAUUUUAUUUUAUUUAUUUUAUUUUGUUUCUACUUAUUUAUUUUAUUUUAUUUUGUUUUGUUUCUACUUAUUUAUAAAAGUUUAUUUUGUUUAUACUUAUUUAUUUUAUUUUCCGUUUUUGCUUUUUGUAUUUAUUUUAUGAAAAUUCUUUUUGCUUUUAAUGUUUUGAACAGAAAAUACUUUGAUAAUUUUAGUUGCAUAAAUUCUAUAUAAUUUUAGUUUCAAUAAUACUAGAGGUUUAUAAAAGCUUUUUAGUUGAUUCCUUUAGUACCGGUUCUUUCUGCCCUUUCUGACUUCAUUUGUUAUUUUUCAUGCAUUUAUUGAUUAUUUUGAGCUAUAAGACCCUGAAAUUGAAAAGCAUUUCAAAUGAACUCUGAAAAGGUUGAAAGUUGGCAUGGUAUCAUCAUUUCAUCCAAAUAGCAUGUGCAAGAAAGUUGAGAGGGUUACGGCAAAAACUGGAUGCACUUCGUGUACAAAACGGACAAUGGUAUCAUACUCGUCUGUUACAAAGUUGGCAUGGUAUCAUCAUAAUAGUUGCGGGAGAAAGUCUUCACUUUUUCUUCGCUUGUGUCAUUUGCUUAUUGCGCCGUAACCAUGGAUAAUCUUCAUCGUUUAUCAGGAUGCUUGGGUCAGCCUUGACUUUGAAGGGAGGAAUUUCAUGAAACUUUUCAUAACCUUCAGACAUGUCUGUCUUGCCCUCCACUCCCACGAUGUCCCUUUUUCCUGAAAGAACUAUGUGUCGCUUGGCUCAUCGUAUGAUGUAUUCGCUUCCUUAUCUUUUCUUUUUCUCGGUUUGGUAGACAUGUCCUUAACCUGUGCCACAUCAUUGGCUAGGACGAACGGUUCAUCAGUGUACCCAAGAUUUUUCAGAUCCACUGUUGUCAUUCCGUACUGUGGGUCUACCUGUACCCCGCCUCCUGACAGAUUGACCCAUUUGCACUUCAACAAAGGGACCUUAAAAUCAUGUCCGUAGUCAAGUUCCCAUAUGUCCACUAUGUAACCAUAAUAUGUAUCCUUUCCCCUCUCGGUUGCUGCAUCAAAGCGGACACCACUGUUUUGGUUGGUGCUCUUUUGAUCUUGGGCGAUCGUGUAAAAUGUAUUCCCAUUUAUCUCGUAUCCUUUGUAAGUCAAUACAGUCAAAGAUGGUCCCCUGGACAACGAGUACAGCUCAUCACAAACAGUGUUGUCACCUCUGAGACGUGUUUCCAACCAACUGCUGAAAGUCCUAAUGUGUUCACAUGUAAUCCAGUCGUCGCACUGCUCCGGGUGUUUGGAGCGCAGGCUGUUCUUGUGUUCAUCGACAUACGGGGUCACCAAGGUAGAGUUCUGUAGAACUGUGUAGUGUGCUUGAGACCAAGAAUGUCCGUCCCUGCAUAUUAUUGAGUCUGCUCCUAGCGUGCCUUUUCCAGUCAGUCCCCUCAUACCGCGAUUUAGGGAGACCUAUCUUCUUAAGGCCAGGAAUGAAGUCAACACAAAACCCAAUGACAUCCUCUGUUUGAUGGCCCAUGGAGAUGCUUCCUUCUGGCCUAGCGCGGUUACGGACAUAUUUCUUUAGGACUCCCAUGAACCUCUCAAAGGGGGCCAUAUUGUGUAGAAAUACGGGCCCCAGAAUGACAAUCUCGUCAACUAGAUGAACUAGGACGUGCGUCAUGAUAUUGAAGAAGGAUGGUGGGAACACCAGCUCAAAACUGACAAGACAUUGCGCCACAUCACUCCUUAGCCUUGGUAUGAUUUCUGGAUCAAUCACCUUCUGAGAGAUUGCAUUGAGGAAUGCACAUAGCUUCACAAUGGCUAAUCGGACGUUUUCCGGUAGAAGCCCCCUCAAUGCAACCGGAAGCAGUUGCGUCAUAAUCACGUGGCAGUCAUGAGACUUUAGGUUCUGGAACUUUUUCUCUCGCAUAUUUAUUAUUCCCUUUAUAUUCGAUGAGAAGCCAGUCGGGACCUUCAUACUGAGCAGGCAUUCAAAGAAGAUUUAUUUCUCUUCUUUCGUAAGAGCGUAGCUGGCAGGACCUUCACACUGCUUCGUGCAAACGCUGCAGGUCCUCCCGUGCCUCAGGUGUAUCUUUUGUCUUCCCAUACACGCCCAAGAAGCCUAGCAGGUUCACGCAAAGGUUCUUCGUCACGUGCAUCACGUUGAUUGAAGAGCGGACCUCUAGGUCUUCCCAGUAGGGUAGGUCCCAAAAUAUAGAUUUCUCCUUCCACAUGGGUGCGUGUCCCUCAGCGUCAUUCGGAACAGCUAGUCCGCCGGGACCCUUUCCAAAGAUUACGUGUAAAUCAUUGACCAUAGCAAGUACGUGAUCACCGGUACGCAUGGCGGGCUUCUUCCGGUGAUCUGCCUCGCCUUUGAAAUGCUUGCCUUUCCUUCGACAUUGAUGGUUGGUCGGAAGAAAUCGACGAUGGCCCAGGUACACAUUCUUCCUGCAUUUGUCCAGGUAUAUACUUUCAGUGUCAUCUAAACAGUGCGUGCAUGCAUGGUAUCCCUUGUUUGUCUGUCCUGAAAGGUUACUGGGAGCGGGCCAAUCGUUGAUGGUUACAAACAGCAACGCGUGCAGGUAAAAUUCCUCCUGUUUUGUGCUCAUCCCACAUACGUACACCGUUUCCAUUCCACAGCUGUAAAAGUUCUUCAACUAAUGGCCUUAGGUACACAUCAAUGUCGUUGCCGGGUUGCUUAGGGCCUUGGAUGAGAACUGGCAUCAUAAUGAACUUCCGCUUCAUGCACAUCCAAGGAGGAAGGUUAUACAUACAUAGAGUCACGGGCCAGGUGCUGUGAUUGCUGCUCUGCUCCCCGAAAGGAUUAAUUCCAUCCGCGCUUAAGCCAAACCAUACGUUCCUUGGGUCACCUGCAAACUCAGCCCAGUACUUCCUCUCGAUUUUUCUCCACUGCGACCCGUCAGCGGGUGCUCUCAACUUCCCGUGUUUCUUACGGUCCUCACUGUGCCAUCGCAUCAACUUGGCAUGCUCUUCGUUUCUGAAUAGACGUUUCAACCGUGGUAUUAUAGGAGCAUACCAUAUCACCUUGGCAGGAACCGUCUUCCUGGGGGGCUCGCCGUCAACAUCACCAGGGUCAUCUCUUCUGAUCUUAUACCGCAAUGCACCGCAUACCAGGCAUGCGUUCAGAUCCUUGUACGCACCGCGGUAGAGGAUGCAGUCAUUAGGGCAUUCAUGUAUCUUCUGCACCUCCAAUCCUAGAGGGCAUACGACCUUCUUUGUUGCGUAUGUACUGUCGGGCAAUUCGUUAUCCUUUGGAAGCUUCUUCUUCAAUAUUUUCAAUAGCUUCUCAAAUCCUUUAUCAGGCACAGCAUUCUCUGCCUUCCACUGCAGCAAUUCCAGUACGGUACCGAGCUUUGUGUUGCCAUCUUCACAAUUGGGGUACAACCCUUUUUUGUGAUCCUCUAACAUGCGAUCGAACUUCAGCUUCUCCUUUUGACUUUUGCAUUGCGUCUUGCAUCGACAAUGACCCGGCGGAGAUCAUCAUCAUCGGGCACCUCAUCUGGUUCCUCUUGAUCUUCAGCAGCUUCCCCCGUUGCAGCAUCAUUGGGCACAUCGUCUGGUUCCUCUUGAUCUUCAGCAGCUUCCCCCGUUGCAGCAUCACCGUAUUCAGGGGGCACAUAGUUGUCAUUGUCCUCUUCUUCUUCGCCGUCUUCCAUCAUAACCCCUAUUUCUCCGUGCCUCGUCCAAACAUUAUAGUGUGGCAUGAAACCCUUGUAAAGCAGGUGGGUGUGAAGGAUUUUCCGGUCAGAGUAAGACUUCGUAUUCCCACAUUUAGGGCAUGGACAACACAUAAAACCAUUCUGCUUGUUUGCCUCAGCCACUUCGAGAAAAUCAUGCACACCCUUAAUGUACUCGGAGGUGUGUCUGUCACCGUACAUCCAUUGCCGGUUCAUCUGCGUGCAUUAUAUAUAAUUAAGUGUGUCAAAAACCAUUACAGAACAUCAUGAAUAGAUAAUUAAGUGACCAAAUUAAUAGAAGUUCAUCAUCACAUUAAAACCAAAGUACAUACAUAGUUCUCAUCUAACAACAUAUAGCUCUCCAGAGCAUCUAAUUAUUUAAACCAUACAUUGAAACUAUGUAAAACAUUUCAAUGCGAAAACAAAUGCGAUCAUAAUCGCAACCAAGGUAACAAUUGAUCCAACGGCAUAAUGAUACCAAGCCUCGGUAUGAAUGGCAUAUUUUCUAAUCUUUCUAAUCUUCAAGCGCAUUGCAUCCAUCUUGAUCUUGAGAUCAUCGACGACAUCCGCAACAUGCAACUCCAAUAUCAUCUUCUCCUCCUCAAUUUUUUUUAUUUUUUCCUUCAAGAAAUUGUUUUCUUCUUCAACUAAAUUUAACCUCUCGACAAUAGGUGUUGGAAAUAUGCCCUAGAGGCAAUAAUAAAAUGGUUAUUAUUAUAUUUCCUUGUUCAUGAUGAUUGUCUAUUAUUCAUGCUAUAAUUGUGUUAUCCGGAAAUCGUAAUACAUGUGUGAAUACAUAGACCACAACAUGUCCCUAGUGAGCCUCUAGUUGACUAGCUCGUUGAUCAACAGAUAGUCAUGGUUUCCUGACUAUGGACAUUGGAUGUCACUGAUAACGGGAUCACAUCAUUAGGAGAAUGAUGUGAUGGACAAGACCCAAUCCUAAGCAUAGCACAAAGAUCGUGUAGUUCGUUUGCUAGAGCUUUUCCAAUGUCAAGUAUCAUUUCCUUAGACCAUGAGAUCGUGCAAAUCCUGAAUGCCGUAGGAAUGCUUUGGGUGUACCAAACGUCACAACGUAACUGGGUGACUAUAAAGGUGCACUACGGGUAUCUCCGAAAGUGUCUGUUGAGUUGGCACGGAUCGAGACUGGGAUUUGUCACUCCGUAUGACGGAGAGGUAUCUCUGGGCCCACUCGAUAAUGCAUCAUCAUAAUGAGCUCAAUGUGACUAAGGAGUUAGUCACGGGAUCAUGCAUUACGGUACGAGUAAAGUGACUUGCCGGUAACGAGAUUGAACAAGGUAUUGGGAUACCGAUGAUCGAAUCUCGGGCAAGUAGCGUACCGAUUGACAAAGGGAAUUGUAUACGGGAUUGAUUGAAUCCUCGACAUCGUGGUUCAUCCGAUGAGAUCAUCGUGGAACAUGUGGGAGCCAACAUGGGUAUCCAGAUCCCGCUGUUGGUUAUUGACCGGAGAGGCGUCUCGAUCAUGUCUGCAUGUCUCCCGAACCCGUAGGGUCUACGCACUUAAGGUUCGGUGACGCUAGGGUUGUAGAGAUAUUAGUAUGCGGAAACCCGAAAGUUUUUCGGAGUCCCGGAUGAGAUCCCGGACGUCACGAGGAGUUCCGGAAUGGUCCGGAGGUGAAGAAUUAUAUAUAGGAAGUCAAGUUUCGGCCACCGGGAAAGUUUCGGGGGUUAUCGGUAUUGUACCGGGACCACCGGAAGGGUCCCGGGGGUCCACCGGGUGGGGCCACCUAUCCCGGAGGGCCCCAUGGGCUGAAGUGGGAGGGNNNNNNNNNNNNNNNNNNNNNNNNNNNNNNNNNNNNNNNNNNNNNNNNNNNNNNNNNNNNNNNNNNNNNNNNNNNNNNNNNNNNNNNNNNNNNNNNNNNNNNNNNNNNNNNNNNNNNNNNNNNNNNNNNNNNNNNNNNNNNNNNNNNNNNNNNNNNNNNNNNNNNNNNNNNNNNNNNNNNNNNNNNNNNNNNNNNNNNNNNNNNNNNNNNNNNNNNNNNNNNNNNNNNNNNNNNNNNNNNNNNNNNNNNNNNNNNNNNNNNNNNNNNNNNNNNNNNNNNNNNNNNNNNNNNNNNNNNNNNNNNNNNNNNNNNNNNNNNNNNNNNNNNNNNNNNNNNNNNNNNNNNNNNNNNNNNNNNNNNNNNNNNNNNNNNNNNNNNNAAAGGGGGGAGGGAGGGCUGCUAUACCCUAGCCCCUGGCGCCUCCCUCUUCCCCCUGCAACACCUCUCCCUCCCGCUUGCGCUUGGCGAAGCUCUGCCGGGAUCCCCGCUACUUCCACCACCACGCCGUCGUGCUGCUGGAUCUCCAUCAACCUCUCCUUCCCCCUUGCUGGAUCAAGAAGGAGGAGACGUCGCUGCUCCGUACGUGUGUUGAACACGGAGGUGCCGUCCGUUCGGCGCUCGGUCAUCGGUGAUUUGGAUCACGACGAGUACGACUCCAUCAACCCCGUUCACUUGAACGCUUCCGCUCGCGAUCUACAAGGGUAUGUAGAUGCACUCCUUUCCCCUCGUUGCUAGUAAACUCCAUAGAUGGAUCUUGGUGAUGCGUAGAAAAUUUUAAAAUUCUGCAACGAUCCCCAACAGUGGCAUCAUGAGCCAGGCCUAUACGUAGUUACUAUGGACGAGUAGAACACAAAGCAGUUGUGGGCGUAGAUGUUGUCAUUUUUUCUUGCCACUACUAGUCUUAUCUUGUUUCGGCGGUAUUGUGGGAUGAAGCGGCCCGGACCGACCUUACACGUAUGCUUACGUGAGACAGAUUCCACCGACUGACAUGCACUAGUUGCAUAAGGUGGCUAGCGGGUGUCUGUCUCUCCCACUUUAGUCGGAACGGAUUCGAUGAAAAGGGUCCUUAUGAAGGGUAAAUAGAAAUUGGCAUAUCACGUUGUGGUUUUACGUAGGUAAGAAACAUUCUUGCUAGAAACCUAUAGAAGCCACGUAAAAACUUGCAACAACAAUUAGAGGACGUCUAACUUAUUUUUGCAGCAUGUGCCUUGUGAUGUGAUAUGGCCAAAAGGAUGUGAUGAAUGAGAUAUAUGUGAUGUAUGAGAUUGAUCAUGUUCUUGUAAUAGGAAUCACGACUUGCAUGUCGUUGAGUAUGACAACCGGCAGGAGCCAUAGGAGUUGUCUUUAUUUUUUUGUAUGACCUGCGUGUCAUUGAAUAACGCCAUGUAAAUUACUUUACUUUUUGCUAAACACGUUAGCCAUGUAAGUAGAAGUAAUCGUUGGCGUGACAACUUCAUGAAGACACGAUGAUGGAGAUCAUGGUGUCAUGUCGGUGACGGAGAUGAUCAUGGCGCCCCCAAGAUGGAGAUCAAAGGAGCAAAAUGAUAUUGACCAUAUCAUGUCACAAUUUGAUUGCAUGUGAUGUUUAUCAUGUUUUACAUCUUAUUUGCUUAGAACGACGGUAGUAAGUAAGAUGAUCCCUUAUAAUAAUUUCAAGAAAGUGUUCCCCCUAACUGUGCACCGUUGCGAAGGUUCAUUGUUUCGAAGCACCACGUGAUGAUCGGGUGUGAUAGAUUCUAACGUUCGCAUACAACGGGUGUUGACGAGCCUAGCAUGUACAGACAUGGCCUCGGAACACACGCAAUACACUUAGGUUGACUUGACGAGCCUAGCAUGUACAGACAUGGCCUCGGAACACAGAAGACCGAAAGGUCGAGCAUGAGUCGUAUAGAAGAUACGAUCAACAUGGAGAUGUUCACCAAUCUUGACUAGUCCGUCUCACGUGAUGAUCGGACACGGCCUAGUUAACUCGGAUCAUGUUUCACUUAGAUGACUAGAGGGAUGUCUAUCUAAGUGGGAGUUCAUUGAAUAAUUUGAUUAGAUGAACUUAAUUAUCAUGAACUUAGUCUAAAAUCUUUACAAUAUGUCUUGUAGAUCAAAUGGCCCACGUUGCCCUCAACUUCAACGCGUUCCUAGAGAAAACCAAGCUGAAAGAUGAUGGCAGCAACUAUACGGACUGGGUCCGGAACCUGAGGAUCAUCCUCAUAGCUGCCAAGAAAGAUUAUGUCCUACAAGCACCGCUAGGUGAAGCACCCAUCCCAGAGAACCAAGACGUUAUGAACGCUUGGCAAUCACGUGCUGAUGAUUACUCCCUUGUUCAGUGCGGCAUGCUUUACAGCAUGGAACCAGGGCUCCAAAAGCGUUUUGAGAAACAUGGAGCAUAUGAGAUGUUCGAAGAGCUGAAAAUGGUUUUCCAAGCUCAUGCCCGGGUCGAGAGAUAUGAAGUCUCCGACAAGUUCUUCAGUUGUAAAAUGGAGGAAAAUAGUUCUGUCAGUGAGCACAUACUCAGAAUGUCUGGGUUACACAACCUUGUCUCAGCUGGGAGUUAAUCUCCCGGAUGACGCGGUCAUUGACAGAAUCCUUCAGUCGCUUCCACCAAGCUACAAGAGCUUUGUGAUGAACUUCAAUAUGCAGGGGACGGAAAAGACCAUUCCUGAGGUAUAUUCAAUGCUGAAAUCAGCGGAGGUGGAGAUCAAAAAGGAACAUCAAGUGUUGAUGGUGAAUAAAACCACUAAGUUCAAGAAAGGCAAGGGUAAGAAGAAUUUCAAGAAGGACGACAAGGGAGUUGCCGCGCCUGGUAAGCCAGUUGCCGGGAAGAAGUCAAAGAAUGGACCCAAGCCUGAGACUGAGUGCUUUUAUUGCAAGGGAAGUGGUCACUGGAAGCGGAACUGCCCCAAAUACUUAGCGGACAAGAAGGCCGGCAACACCAAAGGUAUAUGUGAUAUACAUGUAAUUGAUGUGUACCUUACCAGUACUCGUAGUAGCUCCUGGGUAUUUGAUACCGGUGCGGUUGCUCAUAUUUGUAACUCAAAACAGGAUCUGCGGAAUAAGCGGAGACUGGCGAAGGACGAGGUGAUGAUGCGCGUCGGGAAUGGUUCCAAGGUCGAUGUGAUCGCCGUCGGCACGCUACCUCUGCAUUUACCUACGGGAUUAGUUUUAAACCUCAAUAAUUGUUAUUUAGUGCCAGCUUUGAGCAUGAACAUUGUAUCUGGAUCUCGUUUAAUUCGAGAUGGCUACUCAUUUAAAUCCGAGAAUAAUGGUUGUUCUAUUUAUAUGAGAGAUAUGUUUUAUGGUCAUGCCCCGCUGGUCAAUGGUUUAUUCUUGAUGAAUCUCGAACGUGAUGUUACACAUAUUCAUAGUGUGAAUACCAAAAGAUGUAAAGUUGAUAACGAUAGUCCCACAUACUUGUGGCACUGCCGCCUUGGUCACAUUGGUGUCAAACGCAUGAAGAAGCUCCAUGCAGAUGGACUUUUGGAGUCUCUUGAUUACGAAUCAUUUGACACGUGCGAACCAUGCCUCAUGGGUAAGAUGACCAAGACUCCGUUCUCCGGAACAAUGGAGCGAGCAACCAACUUAUUGGAAAUCAUACAUACUGAUGUGUGCGGUCCAAUGAGUGUUGAGGCCCGCCGUGGCUAUCGUUAUGUUCUCACUCUCACUGAUGAUUUAAGUAGAUAUGGGUAUGUCUACCUAAUGAAACACAAGUCUGAAACCUUUGAGAAGUUCAAGGAAUUUCAGAGUGAGGUUGAGAAUCAACGUGACAGGAAAAUAAAGUUCCUGUGAUCAGAUCGUGGAGGGGAAUAUUUAAGUCACGAAUUUGGCACACACUUAAGGAAAUGUGGAAUCGUUUCACAACUCACGCAGCCUGGAACACCUCAGCGAAAUGGUGUGUCCAAACGUCGUAAUCGCACUCUAUUGGAUAUGGUGCGAUCUAUGAUGUCUCUUACCGAUCUACCGCUCUCAUUUUGGGGCUAUGCUUUAGAGACUGCCGCAUUCACUUUAAAUAGGGCUCCAUCGAAAUCCGUUGAGACGACACCGUAUGAGUUAUGGUUUGGGAAGAAACCUAAGCUGUCGUUUCUAAAAGUUUGGGGAUGCGAUGCUUAUGUGAAGAAACUUCAACCUGAAAAGCUCAAACCCAAGUCGGAAAAAUGCGUCUUCAUAGGAUACCCUAAGGAAACCAUUGGGUAUACCUUCUACCUCAGAUCCGAAGGCAAGAUCUUUGUUGCCAAGAACGGGUCCUUUCUGGAGAAAGAGUUUCUCUCGAAAGAAUUAAGUGGGAGGAAAGUGGAACUUGAUGAGGUGAUAGUCGCCCCUUCCGAACCGGAAAGUAGCGCAGCGCGGGAAGAUGUUCCUGUGGUGCCUACACCGACUGGGGAGGAAGUUAAUGAUGAUGAUCAUGAAGCUUCGGAUCAAGUUACUGCUGAACUUCGAAGGUCCACAAGGACACGUUCCGCACCAGAGUGGUACGGCAACCCUGUCCUGGAAAUCAUGUUGUUAGACAACGGUGAACCUUCGAACUAUGAAGAAGCGAUGGCGGGCCCGGAUUUCGACAAAUGGCUAGAAGCCAUGAAAUCCGAGAUAGGAUCCAUGUAUGAAAACGAAGUAUGGACUUUGACUGACUUGCCCGAUGAUCGGCGAGCCAUAGAAAAUAAAUGGAUUUUUAAGAAGAAGACAGACGCGGAUGGUAAUGUGACCAUCUAUAAGGCUCGACUUGUCGCUAAGGGUUAUCGACAAGUUCAAGGGGUUGACUAUGAUGAGACUUUCUCACCCGUAGCGAAGCUGAAGUCCGUCCGAAUCAUGUUAGCAAUUGCCGCAUUCUAUGAUUAUGAGAUAUGGCAAAUGGACGUCAAAACGGCAUUCGUUAAUGGCUUUCUUAAGGAAGAAUUGUAUAUGAUGCAGCCGGAAGGUUUUGUCGAUCCUAAGAAUGCUAACAAGGUAUGCAAGCUCCAGCGCUCCAUCUAUGGGCUAGUGCAAGCAUCUCGGAGUUGGAACAUUCGUUUUGAUGAGAUGAUCAAAGCGUUUGGGUUUACACAGACUUAUGGAGAAGCAUGUGUUUACAAGAAAGUGAGUGGGAGCUCUGUAGCAUUUCCCUUAUUAUAUGUGGAUGACAUACUAUUGAUGGGAAAUGAUAUAGAAUUCUUGGAAAGUAUAAAGGCCUAUUUGAACAAGUGUUUUUCAUUGAAGGACCUUGGAGAAGCUGCUUAUAUAUUAGGCAUCAAGAUCUAUAGAGAUAGAUCAAGACGCCUCAUUGGUCUUUCACAGAGUACGUACCUUGACAAGAUAUUGAAGAAGUUCAAUAUGGAUCAGUCCAAGAAGGGGUUCUUGCCUGUAUUGCAAGGUGUGCAAUUGAGCACGGCUCAAUGCCCGACCACGGCAGAAGAUAGAUAAAAGAUGAGUGUCAUCCCCUAUGCCUCAGCCAUAGGGUCUAUUAUGUAUGCCAUGCUGUGUACCAGACCUGAUGUAAACCUUGCCGUAAGUUUGGUAGGAAGGUACCAAAGUAAUCCCGGCAUGGAACACUGGACAGCGGUCAAGAAUAUCCUGAAGUACCUGAAGAGGACUAAGGAUAUGUUUCUCGUUUAUGGAGGUGACGAAGAGCUCGUCGUAAAGGGUUACGUCGACGCUAGCUUCGACACAGAUAUGGAUGACUCGAAGUCACAAACCGGAUACGUGUAUAUUUUGAAUGGAGGGGCAGUAAGCUGGUGCAGUUGCAAGCAAAGCGUCGUGGCGGGAUCUACAUGUGAAGCGGAGUACAUGGCGGCCUCAGAGGCAGCGCAAGAAGCAAUCUGGAUGAAGGAGUUCAUUACCGACCUAGGGGUGAUUCCCAAUGCGUCGGGCCCGAUGACUCUCUUCUGUGACAACACUGGAGCUAUUGCCCUUGCCAAGGAGCCCAGGUUUCACAGGAAGACCAGGCAUAUCAAGCGUCGCUUCAACUCCAUUCGUGAAAGUGUUCAGAAUGGAGACAUAGAUAUUUGUAAAGUACAUACGGACCUGAAUGUAGCAAAUCCGUUGACUAAACCUCUCCCUAGAGCAAAACAUGAUCAACACCAGAACUCUAUGGGUGUUCGAUUCAUCACAAUGUAACUAGAUUAUUGACUCUAGUGCAAGUGGGAGACUGUUGGAAAUAUGCCCUAGAGGCAAUAAUAAAAUGGUUAUUAUUAUAUUUCCUUGUUCAUGAUGAUUGUCUAUUAUUCAUGCUAUAAUUGUGUUAUCCGGAAAUCGUAAUACAUGUGUGAAUACAUAGACCACAACAUGUCCCUAGUGAGCCUCUAGUUGACUAGCUCGUUGAUCAACAGAUAGUCAUGGUUUCCUGACUAUGGACAUUGGAUGUCAUUGAUAACGGGAUCACAUCAUUAGGAGAAUGAUGUGAUGGACAAGACCCAAUCCUAAGCAUAGCACAAAGAUCGUGUAGUUCGUUUGCUAAAGCUUUUCCAAUGUCAAGUAUCAUUUCCUUAGACCAUAAGAUCGUGCAAAUCCCGGAUGCCGUAGGAAUGCUUUGGGUGUACCAAACGUCACAACGUAACUGGGUAACUAUAAAGGUGCACUACGGGUAUCUCGGAAAGUGUCUGUUGAGUUGGCACGGAUCGAGACUGGGAUUUGUCACUCCGUAUGACGGAGAGGUAUCUCUGGGCCCACUCGAUAAUGCAUCAUCAUAAUGAGCUCAAUGUGACUAAGGAGUUAGGCACGGGAUCAUGCAUUACGGUACGAGUAAAGUGACUUGCCGGUAACGAGAUUGAACAAGGUAUUGGGAUACCGACGAUCGAAUCUCGGGCAAGUAACGUACCGAUUGACAAAGGGAAUUGUAUACGGGAUUGAUUGAAUCCUCGACAUCGUGGUUCAUCCGAUGAGAUCAUCAUGGAACAUGUGGGAGCCAACAUGGGUAUCCAGAUCCCGUUGUUGGUUAUUGACCGGAGAGGCGUCUCGGUCAUGUGUGCAUGUCUCCCGAACCCGUAGGGUCUACACACUUAAGGUUCGGUGACGCUGGUGGGCUGGUGCGCCCCCCAUGGGCCUCCCCCUGCGUCUAGGGUUGGAAACCCUGGGGGUGGGGGGCGCCCCACCUGACUUGGGGGGGAAGUUUCCCCCCUUGCCCCCCCUGUAGAUGGGAUCCCAGGGGCCGGCGCCCCCCCAAGGGGGCCUAUAUAAAGGGGGGAGGGUUGAUGUACCCUAGCCCCUGGCGCCUCCCUCUUCCCCCUGCAACACCUCUCCCUCCCGCUUGCGCUUGGCGAAGCCCUGCCGGGAUCCCCGCUACUUCCACCACCACGCCGUCGUGCUGCUGGAUCUCCAUCAACCUCUUCUUCCCCUUGCUGGAUCAAGAAGGAGGAGACGUCGCUGCUCCGUACGUGUGUUGAACACGGAGGUGCCGUCCGUUCGGCGCUCGGUCAUCGGUGAUUUGGAUCACGACGAGUACGACUCCAUCAACCCCGUUCACUUGAACGCUUCCGCUCGCGAUCUACAAGGGUAUGUAGAUGCACUCCUUUCCCCUCGUUGCUACUAAACUCCAGAGAUGGAUCUUGGCGAUGCGUAGAAAAUUUUAAAAUUCUGCAACGAUCCCGGCUACCUUGUGGCAGGAGCUCAUACACAAGAAAGAGACGUGUGUGCACUCCUUUCCCCUCUUGUCCCAUGGUAACCAACUGUUGCCCCCAUGUAGGUGUUGAUCAAGGCUACCUUGUGGCAGGAGCUCAUACACAAGAAAGAGACGUGUGUGCCUGUCGCCCCGCCACCAGCAUACAAACUCAACAGGGUUCCACUUAUCGUCGUAGCACCAACCUAUCAAUUCGACCAGGUUCCGGUGCCUCAGGCGACUGGCGACCCUGAGUUCGUCCUCGAACACCUGCCUCCCCUGCCCGGAUGCCGCCGUUUUGAAUCUCUUUAUAGCCACCGGUCUGCUUGGGCUUUUGAGUUGUCCCCUAUAAACAAAGGCGGAACCUCCUUGCCCGAGCCUGGUUUCCUCAGCGAAAUUGUUGGCCGCAAGUGCCAGCCUAUGAUACUCAAUAUGUUCAAGGCCCCUGGCGAGAGCUCUGCAUCGCUUCUUCCUGAUGCAUAGCUGCCAUCGAUGGACGCCAACAAAGAUGCACAUGAUUGCAAUAACUCCAAUAACUGGUGCAGUUACCUUUACUAGCAGUUUCCACAUGUUCUUCCGCGCUGGCGGCGGAACCUUAGAGCUCUUGGGCGUAGGCGCCGGGAUCUCGGGGCUCUUCGGCAUAGGCGGUGGAAUCUCGGAGCUCCCCUGUGCAGGCGCAGGCCGCGGAUCCANNNNNNNNNNNNNNNNNNNNNNNNNNNNNNNNNNNNNNNNNNNNNNNNNNNNNNNNNNNNNNNNNNNNNNNNNNNNNNNNNNNNNNNNNNNNNNNNNNNNNNNNNNNNNNNNNNNNNNNNNNNNNNNNNNNNNNNNNNNNNNNNNNNNNNNNNNNNNNNNNNNNNNNNNNNNNNNNNNNNNNNNNNNNNNNNNNNNNNNNNNNNNNNNNNNNNNNNNNNNNNNNNNNNNNNNNNNNNNNNNNNNNNNNNNNNNNNNNNNNNNNNNNNNNNNNNNNNNNNNNNNNNNNNNNNNNNNNNNNNNNNNNNNNNNNNNNNNNNNNNNNNNNNNNNNNNNNNNNNNNNNNNNNNNNNNNNNNNNNNNNNNNNNNNNNNNNNNNNNCACCGGCACCAAGGGAGUCAUGUCCAAUGUCAGCUCCUCCGAUCGCAGGGCAUCCAUGGUGUGGGUGAUGGACGGCCGGCUGCUCGGGUCCUGGUGCACGCACAAGAGCCCGACAAGUAGCACACGCUCCAUCUGUUGUCGCCCGGUACUGGACUCGCCGCCUAUCAGCCUGUCAUCUGCGGCCUCAAGGACCGCAUUGUUGUAGUACAAACUUCUUACCCACGACGACAAUGGAGGCAUAUCAUGGAGGCGCGUUGUUGGGUCCCUUCCAGAGACCAUCUCUAGUAGAACAAUACCGAAGCUGUAGAUGUCUGACUGCCUGUUCCGUUGGCUCGUGUCCACGAACACAGGGUCAAUAUAUCCGUAAGUGCCUUGCACGACAUCAGUGGUCUGCGACCCAGUUUCGUGGUGAACAAAUCUUGCCAAUCCGAAGUCACCUAACUUGGCAUUGUAUGAAGACCCAAGAAGCACGUUGCUGGACUUGAUAUCACCGUGUACGAUACAUUGUUGGCCUUGCUCGCAGUCUACAUGGAGGUAUUGCAGCGCAGACCCUAGGUCGAGGAUGAUCUCGUACCUGUUUGUCAAAGCAUGUACAUCCAUUACGUAUCUAGAAAAUAUGAAGUUGCAUACAAGGAUGUGAAUGCUCUCGAGAUGCAAUUAUAAUGCGUACCUCUUGGACCAUGCUAACCAACUGUUUCCCUUGUGUAGGUGUUGAUCAAGGCUGCCUUGUGGCAAAAGCUCAUACACAAGGAAGAGACGUGUGUACCUGUCAUCCCGCCACCAACAUAUAAACUCAACCAAGUUCCUUUGGCCGUCAUAGCACCAGCCUAUCAAUUCGACAAGGUUCCGGUACCUCAGCCGACUGGCAAUCCUGAGUUCGUCCUCAAACGCUUUCCUCUCCUCACCCGAUUCUGCCAGCUUGAAUCUCUUUAUCGCCACCGGUCUACUUGGACUUGCCAGUUGGCCCCGAUAAACAGAGGCAGAGCCUCCUUCCCCGAGCUUGUUUUCCUCUGCAAAUUUGUUGGACGCAUGCGCCAACUUACGAUAACCAAUAUGUCCAAUGCCCCCGGCGAGAGCUCUAUAACGCUUCUUUCUCGUGCAUAGCUGCCAUCGACGGACGCCAACAAAGAUGCACACAAUUGUUAUAACUCCAAUAACUGGUCCAGUUAUUACCUCCACUAGCAGGAUCUUUGGUGUAGGAGGGGGGCUCUUCGGUGCAGGCCGCGGGUCCAAGGUUGAGUCAAAUGACCAUGACAUUAUUUGGUGUAGCUCGACAGCCACACCGGUGGCACCCGAGAAGCCGAUGGCCACCACACUAGGCAAGAAUUGCCUCGGGUCAAGACUGGUGUUGACACGGUAUGUUGUGUCGCCGAUCUGGAGAACGGCCGCUAGGACUUUCGUGUCGUUACCGUAGCUGAUGUGGCAAGUCAUUGGGAGGCCAGACGUUAGGUUCCUACGAGGCACGGUCGCGUUGGUGUACGCCCAUGAGACAAUGGAGUUGACAUCAAUGCCCAUGUGACUGCUGCUGGUGUCAAAGCCAUCGUUCAAGUAUGUGUCGAACUCAACCGCCACGGCUCGGUCAUCGCUGGUUGCGACCGUGCCGGGGGAUGUGUUGAAGAGGCCGAGAUUCCCGCCGCCCAUCUCACGUUUGACAUUGGGAAUGCUCGCCGAUGGAUAAUGCCCGAUGAAGAAUGUCAAGCCAUCGCCAGUGUUUGCGUUGUUUACCUUGAUUUGGAAGGUGAAGGAGGUGGUGAAGCGGGCGAGCUCGCCCGUGACAGUAUCCCAGAGCGGCAUGGGCGUCACAAGGAACGCUCGGCCUACGCUGUUCUUGACGCUUGUGCCAUCGCCGUUUCUUGUGAGUUGGAUCAUGCGAGACUGGGCGUCGUAGUAUGCGUCACCCUGGAAACUGAAAUCUUGUGCGUCGUAGUCGGGGUCGGAGAAGUUGGAGUUAAAAGAAAUCGCAGUAGCACGAGGCAGAUGCAGAGAAGACCAUGUCAGGAAGCAGAGGGGGAUGAAGAUCUGUAUUCGGUGGGAAAACCUCAUGGCAGCGGCCAUUUGCUGCAUAAUAAUUUUGCGGAAAAUACUUUAAAAAAUGUUAAACAAGCAUUUGAAAAUUGUUCAAUGCGUAUAGAGAAAAAAGUUGUUGAGUCCGAGUGACCGAGAACCAUUUUUGAACCAUGGGAACCUAGGCCCGUUGUAACUAAGAAAACCUUGUUAUCCGACCGACCGGCCAAGUGCACGCCACACGCAUUUGGGGCCCAGGCAUUGCUUUUGUCCCCGCUCCCUUAUCUACAACCGGUUAGUUUUUUGUUGCGACCAGGCUGCAUUUUUAGCUCGGCAACUACUUUUGUUGGGGUCUUGCAUAGGUGAUGCUUUUUUGCGGGAACCGGUGAUGGAUUUGUUAGGUUGAUCUCUCUCCCGUUCGAGCCCAACGGGUCGAACGGGCCCUUGACUCGCGCCCUGAUCGGGGGCGCCCAACCAAACCAUGGUUGGUGGGCCCCUGUGACCCGCGCUAUAUAAACAGAGGUGGGGGCCGGGGUGCUAUUCACGAGGUUAAUCGCUGCCACAAUCCCCACCUACAAUCCCUACCGAUCUAGGGUUAGCGCGGUGCUCACGGGAAGCUCCAUCGCCUCGCCCACUCUCCGCCAUCGCCGUGCGCCCCAGCACCACAAUGGCCUCCAGCUCGAGUUCAUCUGCUGCUGGACAAGGUAGGUUCACCGGAUCUACUAGCCUACUCCGAUCUAAAGAACUAUCAAUGGUAUCAGCCAGAUCGGGCUAGUUUGAUUUCGGUACAAAGAAACAACAACAGAAAAAGAAAAAGAAAAGAGAUCCCCCCCCCAAAGAACCCUAACCCUAAAAGAACAAUAGGGGCAAAGGGCAAAGAAAUCGCGCCGCCGCAAGGCCGCGCCGUUCCUCUCGAUCCCCACACGCAUCGGCAAGCCGAGGUGCGGGGAAGAAGAACACAGCCUCCCCAAGGGGGCAAAAGGGCACCACCACCGCACCGCUUGACGGCGGCGCGCUCUCCCACGGGAGCUCGCGCACACCGGCAAGGGGGACAGAGGGGGCACCGCUGCUUCACGCCGUGGUUGUCCUCGGUGAACACAGAGAGGAGAAGUGGGUGGUGGAGAAACAGAGAAACAAGGAAGGGGUGGAAUAGAUGGCAGGAGCCUAGGCUCGCGCGGCGCGGUGGUUUUGAUGCCGUUGCCAGCGGCCGGGGCGAAGCUCCUCCACCGGCGCCGUCGCGCGUAGUGGAGCAAAGGAGGGCUCAGCCCUGCCUCUCUCUCUCUCUGUUACAGGAGGGUGCAGGGAGGAACGGAGGGCGUAGGGAAAAGGAGGCCCGCGCGGCGCGGUGGCCGGUCGACGCCAUCGCCAGCGCCCUGGGCGCGGCGCGAUGCCCACGCGUUCGGGACAGAGCGACAAAUCAGAGGAAGGGCUCGCCCCUAGUCCUCUCUGCAACAGAAAAGGGAAGCUGGAGGGAGGAAACGAAAGAGGGAAGAGAAAGAGUGCGCCGCGCCGGGCAGACUCGCCGUCGGCGGCUGGCCGGUGGCCAGUGAAGUGAGCUCUGCCCCGAGCGGGCGAGAGCGGCGCGACAGAGAGGACGGGAGCGAGAGGCUGAGAGGCGAGCGGCGCGCGAGGGGGAGGCAGUUUUGAUCCAGCUAAAAGGGCGCUGGACCGUCCGAUCAGAUCGGACGACCACGAGCGAAACCCUAGCUGUGUCAGGGUCGGGGUCGGGGUGUGGUGUCAGGGUGUCGGGGGUCAGGGGUAAGGGUGGGUGUGGUGUCAGGGUGNNNNNNNNNNNNNNNNNNNNNNNNNNNNNNNNNNNNNNNNNNNNNNNNNNNNNNNNNNNNNNNNNNNNNNNNNNNNNNNNNNNNNNNNNNNNNNNNNNNNNNNNNNNNNNNNNNNNNNNNNNNNNNNNNNNNNNNNNNNNNNNNNNNNNNNNNNNNNNNNNNNNNNNNNNNNNNNNNNNNNNNNNNNNNNNNNNNNNNNNNNNNNNNNNNNNNNNNNNNNNNNNNNNNNNNNNNNNNNNNNNNNNNNNNNNNNNNNNNNNNNNNNNNNNNNNNNNNNNNNNNNNNNNNNNNNNNNNNNNNNNNNNNNNNNNNNNNNNNNNNNNNNNNNNNNNNNNNNNNNNNNNNNNNNNNNNNNNNNNNNNNNNNNNNNNNNNNNNNNNNNNNNNNNNNNNNNNNNNNNNNNNNNNNNNNNNNNNNNNNNNNNNNNNNNNNNNNNNNNNNNNNNNNNNNNNNNNNNNNNNNNNNNNNNNNNNNNNNNNNNNNNNNNNNNNNNNNNNNNNNNNNNNNNNNNNNNNNNNNNNNNNNNNNNNNNNNNNNNNNNNNNNNNNNNNNNNNNNNNNNNNNNNNNNNNNNNNNNNNNNNNNNNNNNNNNNNNNNNNNNNNNNNNNNNNNNNNNNNNNNNNNNNNNNNNNNNNNNNNNNNNNNNNNNNNNNNNNNNNNNNNNNNNNNNNNNNNNNNNNNNNNNNNNNNNNNNNNNNNNNNNNNNNNNNNNNNNNNNNNNNNNNNNNNNNNNNNNNNNNNNNNNNNNNNNNNNNNNNNNNNNNNNNNNNNNNNNNNNNNNNNNNNNNNNNNNNNNNNNNNNNNNNNNNNNNNNNNNNNNNNNNNNNNNNNNNNNNNNNNNNNNNNNNNNNNNNNNNNNNNNNNNNNNNNNNNNNNNNNNNNNNNNNNNNNNNNNNNNNNNNNNNNNNNNNNNNNNNNNNNNNNNNNNNNNNNNNNNNNNNNNNNNNNNNNNNNNNNNNNNNNNNNNNNNNNNNNNNNNNNNNNNNNNNNNNNNNNNNNNNNNNNNNNNNNNNNNNNNNNNACGGCAGACGGGGUCGGCGGCGGCGGCGCGGGUGUGGGUAGGGAGGAAUGAGAGAGUGGAGAGAAGAGAGGGGGGCGGGACGGCCGUUAACGUAACCGCUUCUUUGCCGCCCGCCAACGGUCGGCAAAGAUUCUUUGCCGUCCGCUUGCGGACGGCAAAGAGGUGGGGCCGAUGGGCUUGAGUUGGUUAAACAAUAACUGGACCCACCCACCUCUUUGCCGUAUGCUAGCGGACGGCAAAGAUUCUUUGCCGUCAGCCAGCGGACGGCAAAGAACUGGCUGAUGGCAAAGACUUUGUUUGCCAUCAGCCACAUCUUUGUCGUCCGUUUUCUUAUGGCUGACGGCAAAGACCUUCUUUACCGUCAGCAAGCGGACGGCAAAAGGUGGGCAGACGGCAAAUAAGCUAAUUCCAGUAAUGUAUAGACGUGAAGAUUUAUUUAAUAGGCGGUCCUAGAGCUUUAAUGUCGCUAAACUGAGAGGUAGCUUCUAUCAAUGCAAUACCUGUGCUUCCUUGCUUCCCUUGGAUAGUAAAAUAGCACUACUUUCCAAUUUAGUCUAAGGGCUUCAUAUAUUUAUGUAAAUUUCCAUCAUUAUAUUGUAAAAAAAUAUUGAGAAUCCUAUCAUUAAAUUGUAAACAUAGAGGGAGCGCUGCAACGAGCACUGUCAUGGUCUAGUAAAGUUAAAUGGCAAAGACUAUUCCUUAUGUAUAAUCAUGAAACCCCUCUAAUGAAAAUCUAUCAAAAAAUUAAUAAAUGCGAAAAAAUAUUUAAUUUCCAUAGAAAAUAACAAGCUUGUACUGAUGCGCGGGUUGAUGAUUAGUUGUAUUAGAAAUAAUAUGCGAUAAAGGAUCCCCUUGACAUAGCCCUUUCCUAGAUUGAAAAAUUGUUCGGCAUCAUCAUUUACUUCAAUGGAAACACUACCUUUCUAAAGAAAUUAUCAAGCCAAGCCCUCUCCAAAUCAAAGAGAAACCCUUCAUCUACCAUGCUUGUUGUAGAACUGACCAACACACCCUGUCGUUGGCUUUCUAAAAUUUGAACUUGAAAAUAAAUCCAUCCAAAUUCUUAUUACAUAAUUUGGGUGGUUUCAUGCGGAAAAAAAACCCUCCAUAAUACACUAGCCUCGCAAAAAGGCCGUUUGUGUUGGCUAUAUGAUAUUUAAGAGCCGGGUCAAUAAACCAGUUAGAACUCCAUAUAGAGUACAUACAAAGCAGAAUUUAGGAAUAGACUUGAAUCAGUUGUUCGUGCCACAGAAUCAUCUAAAUGCAUGGCAUUCCACUAAUAGAAUAAAAUAAUUACAAUAGAAUAAAUGAUGAAACAGGUUGAUAUAUAGAACAUAAGGUUUAUAUAUCAAUCAUUUGAUAUUUUUUUUGUGAAGAUCCGCCAAAAACAAUACGAGGUGCUCCUUCUUUGAUGUCUAACUAUUAGCGGAUUCAUUUAUGAAUAAUGAUUUUAAUUCUAGGUGUAACUAAGUUUUUUUUUCAAUUUUACAGAAAUACUAUGUUGAUUGAUUAAUGAAACUAUACUAUAUGGUUUACCCUAAAAAAACUAUACUAUAUGGUUUGAUAUGGGGGCUGGUGGAUAGAGAGGAGGCUCAAUUUAUGUAUACAAGCAAUGUAUGUUUAUGCUUAAAGUUAAGUUGGUCAACUAAACUAGGACACGGAUUUGUGGAACAUGGCUCCACGGGAACCCUUUAUGAAUAGUAAAUUAAUAUAAAAAACUGAACUUUUUAGAACAUACAUUGUCGACUGGUAUAAUCGCGUAUGAAGUUUUACAAAGAAAAGACAUCAACACAAUUUCAGACAAAAUCAAAGCAAAGCACUAUUUGACUAAGAUUCCCAGGUGGCAUACUUUCAUUGAAACAUACAUAGUCGACCGGUCUACUCACGUAUGAAGUUUCUGCACUACCACAUAACCCGGGUGACAUUCCUUCACGAAACUUCGUACGUGAGUAGAAUGUUCGACAAGUUUGAUACCCCAAAAUUUCAUAUUCUUUUGGUUUUUUAGUAUUUUUUUGAAUUUACUAUCCACAUGAGAGCACGUGAAAAUAUGUUCACCUUUUUAUUUUUGUUACUAGAUAUUGUGAUUUAUAGUUUCAUACAAGCAUACAGUAUGGGAAAAAAUGGUUAAAAUAUUUAUAAAAACCAUAUAAAGCAUAAGAAACGCAUUUGUACUAGCAUCAAGGAAAUGUAGCCAUUUUUCAAUUGUGCAGGUCAUCAGUUGAUGCAUACAUCCGGCUUUGUAGCACAUGAUUCUUAUUCCCAAUAUAUCCCGACUCAAUAUGUAUCCAUUGAAUAUAUUUAUGGUAUCAACAAAAAAAGAAUACGUGUAUCUGGUAUUACUUUGUUGAUUUUUGGACUAAAUCCUGAACUACAAAGGCUAUGGCAGCAAGAGUGUCACAGGCGCUAGGGGAGCAAUGUCCAAUGUCAGCUCCUCCGAUCGCAGGGCUUCCAUGGUGUGGGUGAUGGACGGUCGUAUGCUCAGGUCCCGGUGCACGCACAAGAGCCCAAUGAGUAACGUGUGCUCCAUCUGUUGACGCGUGACAUUGGACUCGCCGCUUAUCAACCUCUCAUCUGCGGCGUCUAGGAUGUCAUUCCUAUGGUACAAACUCCUUAUCCAUGAUGACAAUGGAGGCCUAUCAUGGAGACACAUUGUUGGAUCCCUUCCGGAGACCAUCUCUAGUAGGACAAUGCCAAAACUAUAUAUGUCUGACUGCCUGUUCCGUUGGCAGGUGUCGAGGAACACAGGGUCUAUAUAUCCAUAAGUGCCCUGCAGAACAUCUGUGGUUUGUGACCCAGUUUCAUGGUGAACAAACCUUGCCAAUCCGAAGUCACCCAACUUCGCACCGUAUGAAGACCCAAGGAGCACGUUGCUGGACUUGAUAUCGCCGUGUACGAUACAUUGUUGGCCUUGCUCACAAUCUACGUGGAGGUAUUGCAGUGCAGAUCCUAGGUCGAGGAUGAUCUCAUACCUGCUUGUAAAAGCAUGUAACCAUUCAUUAUGUACCGAGAUAAAAUGAAGUUGCAUGCAAUGAUGUGAAUGCUCUCGAGAUGGAAUUAUAAUGCGUACCUCUUGGACCAUGGUAACCAACUUUUGCCCCUGUGUAGGUGUUGAUCGAGGCUACCUUGUGGCAAAAGCUCAUACACAAGAAAGAGACGUGUGUACCUGUCGUCCCACCACCAGCAUACGAACUCAAUCGGGUUCCUCUUGCGAUCGUAGCACCAGCCUAUCAAUUCGACUAGGUGCUUGUGCCUCAGGCCACUGGCAAUCCUGAGUUCGUCCUCGAACGCCUUCCUCCCUUCGCCCGAUGCUACUGGCCUGAAUCUCUUUAUGGCCACAUGUCUACUUGUCAGUUGGCCCUGAUAAACAGAGGCGGAACCUCCUUGCCCGAGCUUGUUCUCCUGUGAGAAUUUGUUGGUUGCACGCGCUAGCUUAUGAUAAUCAAAAUGUUCAAGGCCUCUGGCAAGAGCUCUGUAAUGCUUCUUUCUCGUGCAUAGCUGCCGUCGUCGGACGCCAACAAAGAUGCACACAAUCGCCAAAAAAACGAUAACUGGUCCGGUUGCCUCUACUAGUAGUUUCCACGGAAUCUUGGGGUUCCUCCGUGGAGGCGACGGAUCCAAGGUGGAGUUGAAUGACCAGGACAUUAUUUGGUGUUGCUCGACGGCCACGCCAGUAGCACCCGAGAAGCCAAUGGCCACCACACUAGGCAGCAUCUGCCUCAGGUCAACACUUGUGUUGACACGGUAGGUCACGUCGACGAUCUGGAGAACAGCAGCAAGGAUUUUUGUGUCAUUGCUGUAGCUGAUGUGGCAAGUCAUUGGGAGGUUCGAUGUGAGGUUCUUUCCAGGCACGGCCACGUUGGUGUACGCCCGGGAGAUGAUGGAGUUGACGUCGAUGCCCAUGUGGCUGUCGCUGUUGUCGGACUCAACGUUGAAGAACGUGUCGAACUCAACCGCCACGACUCGGUUGUCGCCGGUCGCCACCGUGCCGACGCUUUUGUUGAAGAGGCCGAGGUUCCGGCCAUUGUCGAGGGGAUCGGGAAUGCUCGUCGGAGGGUAAUGGCCAAGGAAGAAAGUCAUGCCAUCGCCACUGAGUUCACUGUUUACCUUGAUUUCGAAGGUGAAGGAGGUGGUGAACCGGGCCAGCUCUCCGGUGAUGGCAUCCCACAGCGGCACGGGCUGCGCGUACAACGCCCGGCCUACGCUGUUCUGGAUGUUUGGACUCCCGCCGGCUUUCGUCAGCUCGAUCGUCUGAGACUGGGAGUCGUAGUAUGCGUCGCCUUGGAAGCUGAAGUUUUGGGCGUCGUAGCCACCGGGCUGGGAAAAGUUGAAGCUAAAGGAAAGCGAGGUUGCAUGUGGCAAGUGCAGAGAACAUAUCGGGUAGUAGAGGAGCAUGAAGAUCUGUAUUCCGUGGGGAAAGCUCACAGCAGCCAUUUGCUACGUUGUGUUUGGAAGCUCGUGAACAAACACGCAUGAUAUAGAACUUCCGACCUCGAAAUCUUCAAACGUUGCACGCACAUGCUGAGUACGGGUCGCAAUGGCCUCUGGUAAUGUCCGUUAAACAGAAGGUACAAGCCAAACGACAACGCCGCAACAACUUUCUGCGCUAUCUCCUAGGUCAGAAAGAAGGCACUAUGUGCUGUCUGACCAAGCCUGGAGCAUAUGUUAUUCCGACGACCAAGUAUCCGUCAGUUCGCUAGCUAGCAAGCACGUUUGUGGUGUUUGUUUCUUUUUUUCAGUUCAAAAGAGGUUUUUACCCUACUUUGUUAUAAAUAAAGCACUGGGCCAAACGAUACAUGGAGUUGAUGAAGUCCUCGGAAGCUGGACGUGUUUGUUUGUUUGUUAGAGAUUUUUUCUUUUCGAAAAACUUUCAAUCUAUUCAUCUUCAAUCAUGAAAGUACAACGAACACCAGAAAUUAUAAAAAUUGUGUCUAAAUCCGUAGUCCAUCUAGCGACGACUACAAGCACUGAAGGAAGCAGAAGGCGCCGCCAUCAUCACCCCUCCCUCGCCGGAGCCGGGCACAACAUGUUGUAGUAGACAGUCGGGAAGUCAUCAUGUUAAGGCCCAAUAGGACCAACGCAUCAGAACAGCAAGCGCCAUCGAUGAAGAGAAGCGUAGAUCGAAAGAAUCCAACAUGAAGACACACGAACAAAGACGAAUAAAGACCGGAUCCGGGUAGAUAUACCAAAGACAACCACUGACCGAAUCUCACGAGAUCCGCCGGAGACACACCUCAGCACGCCCUCCGACGAUGCUAGACGCAUCACCGGAACGGGGGCUAGCCGGGGAGAAACUUAUUCCAUCACUAGGUAGCCGCCGUCGUCUCACCUUCCUAAGCAGGACACAAAUCCUAAGAAAACUUGAAGCACCUAAAAACGGAGUCCUCCCGCAGGCAAGGACCAAGAUUCACCUCGCACUCAUAACCCUAAGGCCACAGGAAACAUGGCAGGUCGACGGCGCCGCCGAUGGGAGGCAGAAACUCUAUCCGUCUUUCCUUGAAAGGAGAGACGAAGGAAGGUAAGAACUUCAUUUACAUAUCGAACUACACCGCCACGACUCGGAUCAUCACUGGUCGUGUACAUGUUAAGAGGCUGAGGUUCCGGAAGUCCUCGAGGGGGUUGGGAAUUCUCGUCGGAGGAUAAUGCCCGAGGAAGAAAGUGAAACUGUCGCCACUGAUUGCACUGUUUGCCUUGAUUCCAAGGUGCAAGGAGGUGGUGAAUCGAGUGAGCUUGCCGGUGCCCGGUGGCAACGUCCCACAGAGGCACUAGGCUGCACGUGCAACGAUCAGCCUAUCUGUUCUGGAGGUUCGGUCCCUAAUGAACCUGCAGCAUACUAUUAGUUGUUACAAAUGCUUGCCCCUAAAUUGGAAGCAAGCCGGUGCCAGAGUGGUGGCCUUUGUUUUUUAUUUUUUGAAAAGAAAAUCAGGCUUUCGGCCUCUACAUCGGUUGACGCACACAUCCAGAUUUCUAUUACAUGAUUCCUAUUCUCGUUACAUCUCGACUCAAUCUGUGACCGUGAUUUUCCAGACUAGAAGCCUGAACUAGAAAGGCUAUGGCGGCGAGAGCGUCAAUGCAUCAUGGGCGCAAGGGGAGUGAUGUCCAAUUUCAGCUCAUCCGAUCGCAGGGCAUCCAUGGCGUGGGUAAUGGACGGACGGCUGCUCAGGUCUUGGUGCACGCACAAGAGCCCAACAAGUAGCACCCGCUCCAUCUGUUGUCUCCCAGCAGUGGACUCAUCGCCUAUCAGCCUGCUAUCUGCGGCCUCCAAGAUAGCAUUCCCAUGGUACAAACUCCUUGCCCAUGACGACAGUGGGGGCUUAUCAGGGAGACGCACCGUUGGGUCCCUUCCAGAAACCAUCUCUAGUAGGACAAUGCCGAAACUGUAGAUGUCUGACUGCAUAUUCCGCUGGCUUGUGUCGAUGAACACAGGGUCUAUGUACCCAUAAGUGCCCUGUAAGACAUCUGUCGUCUGUGAUCCGGUUUCAUGGUCAACAAAUCUUGCUAAUCCGAAGUCGCCUGACUUGGCACCGUAUGAAGUGUCAAGCAGUACGUUGCUCGACUUGAUAUCACCAUGUACGAUACACUGCUGUUGUUGCUCGCAAUCUACAUGGAGGUAUUGCAGUGCAGAACCUAGGUCGAGGAUGAUCUCGUACCUGGUUGUCAAAGCAUGUUACCAUUAUUACAUCAAAAAGAAAUUAAGUUUCAUUGAUGUAAAUGCUCUGGAGAUGGAACUACAUACCUCUUGUCCCAUGGUAACCAAUUGUUGCCCCCAUGUAGGUGUUGAUCAAGGCUACCUUGUGGCAAGAGCUCAUACACAAGAAAGAGACGUGUGUGCCUGUCGUUCCGCCACCAGCAUAAAAACUCAAUUGGGUUCCUCUUGUCGUCGUAGCACCAACCUAUCAAUUCGACCAGGUUCCGGUGUCUCAGGCGACUGGCGAUCCUGAGUUCGUCCUCGAACGCCUGCCUCCCCUGCCCGGAGGCCGCCGGUUUGAAUCUCUUUAUUGCCACCGGUCUACUUGGGCUUGUCAGUUGGCCCCUAUAAACAAAGGCGGAACCUCCUUGCCCGAGCCUGGUUUCCUUGGCGAAAUUGUUGGUCGCACGCGCCAGCUUAUGAUAAUCGAUAUGUCCAAGGCCCCUGGCGAGUGCUCUGCAUUGCUUCUUCCUCAUGCAUAGCUGCCAUCGGUGGACGCCAACAAAGAUGCACACGAUUGCGAUAACUGCAAUAACUGGUCCAGUUACCUCUACUAGCAGCUUCCACAGGUGAACCUUGGAGCUCUUGGGAGUAGGCACCGGGAUCUCGGACGGUGCAGGCGCUGGCGCAGGCCGCAGAUCCAAGGUGGAGUUAAAUGACCAGGACAUUAUUUGGUGUAACUCGACGGCAUCCCCAGUGGCACCCGAGAAGCCGAUGGCCACCACACUGGGCAAGACCUGCCUCAGGUCAACACUCGUGCUGACACUGUAGGUCACGUCGCCGAUCUGGAGAACGGCCGCUAGUCUUUUUGUGUCGUUGCCGUAGCUAAUCUGGCAACUCAUCAGAAAGCCAGACGUUAGGUUCUUGCCAGGCACAGUCGCGUUGGUGUACACCUGCGAGACAAUGGAAUUGACAUCGAUGCCCAUGUGGCUGCCACUGGGGUCGAAAUUAUCGUUGAAGAAGGUGUCAAACUCAACCGCCACGGCUCGGUCGUCGCCGGUCGCCACCGUGCCAGCGAUUUUGUUGAAGAGGCCGAGGUUCCCUCCGCCCAUAUCGCGUAUGACAUUGGGAAUGCUCGACGAAGGAUAACGCCCGAGGAAGAAUGUCAAGCCAUCGCCAGUGGUUGCAUUGCUUACCUUGAUUUGGAAGGUGAAGGAGGUGGUGAAGCGGGCGAGCUCGCCGGUGACGGUAUCCCAGAGCGGCAUGGGCGUCGUAAGGAACGCUCGGCCUACGCUGUUAUUGACGCUUGUGCCAUCGCCGUUUCUUGUGAGUUGGAUCAUGCGAGACUGGGCGUCGUAGUAUGCGUCACCCUGGAAACUGAGGUCUUGGGCGUCGUAGUCGGGAUCGGCGAAGUUGGAGAUAAAAGAAAGCGCGGUAGCACGAUGCAGAUGCAGAGAAGACCAUGUCGAGUAGCAGAGGAGGAUGAAGAUCUGUAUUCGGUGGGAGAAGCUCACAGCGGCAGCCAUUUGCUGCGGCGUGUGUUUGGAAGUGGGUCAACAGAACACACAUCAUAUAGAACUUCUGACAUCGAAAUCUUCAAUAAAUAUUUAGCGAUGCAGACGAACAGCGAGCUUUCAAAUCUUCUGACCUGGACGUCACAUUGGGCGCACAUCCUGUGUACAGGUCACAAUGGCCUCUGGUAAUGUCCGUUAAACAGAAAGGUAUAGGCCAAACGACAACACGGGAACUCCUAGGUGAGAAAAGGUACCAAGUGCUGUCUGACCAAGUCUGAAGCAUAUGUUUUUCUGACGAUCAAGUAUCGUCAGCAUGCUAGCUAGCACCUUUGUGGUGUUUAUUUUCUUUUUCAAUUCGAAACAGGCUUUCAGGUUCGCUUUAUAAACCCGUUUGCCAGAGUACUUUGGCGGACGGUUCACAUUAUUUUUAAUAUUACUCCACCGAAUUCUGUCACUACGUUAUUUGGGACAUGGCUCACUGGGAUUGAGCCUGAAUUAGCGAGACAUAUUCGUGUUGGAGUUUGCACUUUGUUGUGGACUAUCUGGACUUGCAGAAAUGAUUUGGUUUUUAACAGAACAUCACGUAUUCACUUUUUGCAGGUUAUUUUCCGAGCCACGGCCGUGAUCCGUUCAUGGUCGCUACUCACUCCGAUGGAGGCCAGUGAGCAUUUGGUUACUGGAUCUAUCCGCUGGGAGAUGGUAGCUCGGGAUAUCUUCAACCGGUUUGGAUGGCGGUCAUGUAAUAGGAUAGGCAAUUAGUUUACCUGUCUAUCUUUAGCCAGCCGGUUGUGGCGUUUUAUCUUGGCUAGUCUGUGUGUCCAGCCUCUUUAGCUCUGUGUGAGCUAUCUUUUUAUUACUUUUCAGUCGGAGACUUUGGAACCUUGUUGGAACCUUUUAUUUCGUUAAUAAGAUGGCCGUAUGCAUCACUCUGAUGCAGAGGCAGGGGAGAUCCCCCUUUUCGAAAAAAAAACAUGUUUGUUUCGCACACGGCUAAAGACUAUACAUAGAGUUGAAGAAGUCUUCAGAAGUUGUAUGUGUUCGUUUUUUUUGUUUGGGCUUUUGCUCGUGUCGACCUCAAUAAUCAUGUACGUCAAACUCAACCACCACGGGUCGGUCAUAGGACGUGCUCGAUUUGGCGAAAUCACUAGUUGAGGAGUAUUUGUGGCAAGUGGCGCGUUGCAUGUGCGUCACUUGUCGCAACCUGAGAGUUUUCUUUUUUUUCGUAGAUCCGUUUAUUCAAAAUAUUUUGUUUUCUUAAACAGUGCCUCUCAAGAAAUCAGAACCGUGCCUCUCGCGGAAGCAAAAUCGUGACUCCCGCGGAAGAAAAAAAAAGAGAAAACGCGUUUUUUUUCGUUUUCGAGGAGGCACGGCCGUGACUCUUGCGAAAGCACAACUGUGCCUCUGACGGAAGCAAAACCGUGACUCUCGCGAAAGGAAAAAAACAGAAAACGUGUUUUUUUCGUUUCCGAGAGGCACGGCCGUGACUCUCACAAAAGCACAACGUGCCUCUCGCGGUAGCAAAACCGUGACUCUCGCGAAAGAAAAAAAACAGUAAACGCGUUUUUUUUCGUUUCCGAGAGGCACGGCCGUGACUUUUGCGAAAGUACAACCGUGCCUUUUGCGGAAGCAAAACCGUGACUCCCGUAAAAGAAAAAAAUAGAAAAUGCAUUUUUUUUUCGUUUCCGAGAGGCACGGCCAUGACUCUCGCGAAAGCAAAACCAUGCCUCUCGGGAAAGCAAAACCGCGACUCUCGCGGAAGAAAAAAAAGAAAACACAUUUUUUCGCGCAAUUUUUUUCGAAUUUUUUUUAUCCAAAAGCUAAGGAAGACCGGUGGAAAACCGAAACGUCAAAAAAAAACCCAAAAAAAACAUUUAAAAAUCCAAAAACGCGUGCGUAAAAAUUUAACAAAAUCCGGAGGGAGCGCCCAGAGCGCUACACGUGGCGAAUGGCUAAGAGCGCGCCAAGUGGCGCUGAUCAUUGUGAGGCUCCUGAAGAAGCGCUCGUCAACUAAUUGCUCCCUCGAUUUGGACAUGCUAUUUACAUCCUGGCAUAGUAUUACGAAGGCACAACCCAACCCAACCCACACGGCCAUCAGUGACAGCGCUGGAGGUUAAGGCAGAGAUUUUUUUUUUUUAACCUUGAGUGGUCUCUACCAGACUCUCAUAAGUUAUAUUAGCAGAACCGAGACAACCGAACUAUACCUAAUAAUAAAGGACGGAAGCUUUCAUAGUUCUUCAUAACCAUAAGUCAUCCCUUUAUAUCCAUUUAUUUGUGUUAACCAUAAAGAUGAACGGUUGAGAUUCAAAAGGCCGCUCUAUAGAAAAAAAAAUCCAUAAGUUUUCUAAUAAGAUCGUCCAGCCCACCCAUGAAUACGUACUCUCAUCAAAUCUCUCUAACGCGCAUCUGUUUUUUUCUUGGUAAUGCCUUUCACCGAUUCUUCUUUCCUUCCGAAUUCAUACAUAACAAGCCCAUGUUCGUUUCCAUCCUGUGUCGUAUACAACUGGGAAACCAUCUUGCUACCUAACGCCGCCAACAAGGUUUAUAGAGAUCCUGGACGUGAGUCAGGAGGUAGGUUUAGAGCAGGAGGCACGCCGUGUUCACGGUGAGGUCGGAGGCUCGGAGCAGACCAUUUGUGACCACGGCCGCAGCAAGGGCUAUCAUAUGCUUCGUCAACCAGCGGGAGCUGGAAGCGGCCAGUCCACCAGGACGAGAACGGCUUCACCGAGGUGACUGGACCGCUCGUAAUGGCGGGGUAGGCGACAGCCGUCGAAGCCCUCAUGGUCAAUAUUGGCGGUUUCUCGAGGGCCUGGGUGCCGUUCCGCACCGAGAGUACACGCACACAACCCACUUCAGCCUAGCGGCACGAACUGAUACUUCAAGGUGUACCCCAACGAGCAUCACGAGUCUGCGCGACGCCAACAAGGACUGCGGAGCUGUCUUCCUCAGCUGUGGGAAAUCCGACAAGCCAGCGACUUUAGACUAAUAGACAUUAGCUUUGAGCACGGCAUGACGAGUUGACGACUAUGUGGCGGAGGCUGGCAACCCCGUGUGAAAGCUUCCAGCCGCUCCAGCGACCUCGCGUCAGCCGAGCAGAUGGCCAGCGAUGACCGCCUGAUCCUCUGGUGCCGCCUCCACGUGAUCAAGGUCUUGACGCCGAGCCUGAUGCUCCCAGCCACGGCCAGGUGAAAACCCCUCGAGAGAUGUGUGGUCUCGAGUAAGCAAGGUCGCCGGGGAUAUGCAUGCACGAGAUGGAGGGCCAGGUCGCUGGGGAUAUGCAUGCACGCGAUGGAGGGCCAGGUCGCCGGAGAAGGAGGUCGGCUGGAAGGUGCUGAUCCAGCCGACGAGGUGAAGGAGGGGCGCGUUGGUAGUAAGACAAAGUGGAAGAGGUUGGAGCGGGCGGAGGUGGACAAACGGGAGAGCAGAGGGAGGCUGAGUGCGUGGCUGUGGUAGCGACGAUGACGGAGGUCUGGGGCUGGCCUUUGAGGCGGCCAUCUCGGCUGGUGCUGCAAUCUCCUCUUCUUCUUUCAGGCAAAGGUACCGCUGCUGCUUCGAAUUUGAAUGAACAGAGAAAAAAAGCAAAAGCGAACGGUCAUAACGUAGGAAAGUAGUGCAUCGCUUUUUCAAACACCAAAACAGCUUUGAAGCUAGCUAGAUUGUACUCCACACUGAACAUACACACGAGCCACCGGGCAGAAGGCUGACCCACCUUGCUAACACACUCUUGAUCCUCUCCUCCAUCCCUACGAUCUUUGACGUCCCUAUCUACCGCCAUUGCAGCUGGACCCCUCCACCAACUGCAAAACAAAUUCUGUUCGGGCAAUCGCCCAUGGGUUGUCCGACACAGACAUAUUUGCCGCUUCUGCAAGCGGAUGGCACGUUCCCGUGCUCGAUAUUGCCUCACCGUCACCAAGGACGGGAAGGAGGAGCAGAUCGUGAACUACGCACGCUCCCUCUGGUAUGCUCAGCAACAACAAGUCCAAGGCUAUCUAACGGGCUCUCUCUCUCUCUCUCUAGAAAUUCUUGCACGGGUUGUUACUCUCGAGACGACGGCGCAGGUAUGGGCAGCCAUCCACGCCACUUUUGCUGCGCAAAGCCAAGCUCAGGCCAUCAAUACGAGGAUCGAGCUCACCAAUCUGAAGAAAGGCAACCUCAGCAUGGCUGAUUAUCUAGCCAAGAUUAAGAUUCUUGCUGACGAAGUUGCCUGCACCGGCGCAGCACUCCAGGAUCACGAGAUCGUCUCCCACGUCCUCGCCGGCCUCGACCUCGACUACAACCCGGUCGUGUCGGUGCUUGCUACAUGAGUUGAGCCCGUCACCGUCCAGGAGCUUUUCAGCCAACUGCUCAGCUUCGACGCCCGCCUAACUCUCCUGCACGGUAUGAACUUCCGGCAAUCCUCUGUCAAUACAGUGUCUCGCGGUCGUGGUGCGAACCGUGGGCGUGGCAAUCAAGGGCGGAGCCGCAGCAGCGGGCGUGGACGCGGGAACAACUCUGGAGGGGGCGGCUACAACAGCAACAACAACACCUCUGCUGGUUCAGAUGGGGGCGGCUUCGGUCCAGGUGGGGGUGGCUACAACGCCUCUGUUGGUUCCUCCUCUUCCAACAGAAGGCCACGCUGUCAAUUAUGCAAGAAGCCAGGCCAUGAAGUCAUCCACUGCUGGCACCGCUACGAUGAAGACUACGUCCCCGACGCUUGUCAUGUUGCUGCAGCCAUCCGUGAACAAGGAGGAGGUGGAGAUGCGGUUUGGUAUGCUGACUCAUCGAGUCAGCAUAUCGAGUAGCAGAGGAGCAUGACGAUGUGUAUUCGGUGGAAAAACCUCAUGGCAGCGGCCAUUUGCUGCAGUCGUGUUGUUUAGAAGCUCGUCAACAAGCUCACCAUAUAUAACUUCAAAUCUCGAUGAUCCCCUAGCAAUGUCCGUCAAACAGAAGGGGUUGUUAAUAAGCCAAAUGACAACCUUUCUGCGCAAUCUCCUGUAUAUAGGUGAGAAAAACUAUGUGCCAUCUAUCUGACCAGGUCUAUCCGCGGAUAGUACAAUAUUCCACCAGACCAGUAUCUGAAGCAUAGCUCAAGUUUUUCUUUCUUUUGUUUGAGACACCCAUCUGCAAGCUAGCACGUUUGUUUCUUUGUUUGGGCUUUUGCUGCUCCUUUCUGCUGUUCCGUUGUAAACGGGAGAUACUUCUACUCCAAAAAUCGGAGGCCUAAGCCCGCUUCAGUUUCCUGGGCGACGCCCAAGGCCCACUUUACCUCUAUAGGUAAUUUUGCUGCAAGCACGGCCCUGAAACUGAAAGCAGUAGCACUACACGGGUGAUAGAAGUAUGAAGCGGAAUAAAUAUGCAUUGGAAUUCCAAUCAUCAACAUGGAAAUGCUAUUUACAUCCUGGCAUAGAAUUAUGACGGCCCAACCCAACCCACAUGGCUAUCAGAGACAGCGCUGGACGUUAAGGCAGAUUUUUUUUUUCAAUCUUGAGAGUGGUCUCUACCUGACUCGCAUAAGUUAGCAGAACCGAGACAGCCUGAAUAUUUAGCAAAAGAAUAGAGCCGAGGCAACGCACGUCACAGCCAAGGCCACCUCAGAUAGG